AAUAUAUAUGUAUGUGAAUAAGCCUCACCAGAAAGGCUUCACAGCGACCCAGGAAGGACGUGAGCGAGCCAAUGCAGCAACCAGGAAUGAUGACAAAGGCAGUGCAGCAACCAGGAAGGACGUGAGGCAGUGCAGCGACCAGGAAGGACGUGAGGCAGUGCAGCAACCAGGAAAGGAUGACAAAGGCAGUGCAGCAAAGACGAUGGUUGUGCAAUGGUUUUGCAGUGGCGGUAAAAUACAGCGAGAAUGCAGUGGCUGCGCAGUUGGCUGUGAAACUGUUGUGUAGUUGUGGUGUCCAGAGAAACAGGCAAACCUGCGCAAAUAUGAAGCAGCAAGCUUCUGGGCAAAUAGACAGAACUACACUUGAUAGGUGAAAAUUUUCAAGCCGAUGGGAAUGGAAUAAGGAUCAAGUGCCUGUCUAAAAGCCUCACAGGAAGGCUUACUUAUACACACCAAAACAGACCAACAUUACAGAGCACAUGCCGCGAAUGAUGAUACUCACAUGCAGCAAUCUUUUGUUAAAGCUGGAAAAGCUUUAAACGCCUAUAUUUACCUGCUAGCAAGCAGCAUAUUUGGGGAAAAAACAAAGACAUACAGCUUUAGCUGUAUGUUUGAGAUUGAAUAAUCACCAUGUAGGUCAUCUUCCCACCGUCAGAUAUCUAAUGGCAGCUUGGUGUCAGCAAAUCGUGUGUUGAUCUCUUGGCCUCAGUGGCCUCUUAUCCUAAUCCGGACGACAAGAUCAAAACAACCAGAUUCAAGGAUCAAGCAGGCGGGGAAAAACAGGCAAUGCUUUAACAUGUGCAGCCCGCCAGCGAUUAAGUCCGAAGCUGAUUUCCAAGGUUUCAGAUGAUACACAAGGCAGGGCUAUGCUGCAUGAGCUACAAACCGACAGCAUAGGUACUUCUUUGUUACGACAUGGACAUGAGGAGCAUCUGUUCGAGAAGGCGCCCACCACCUUAGACGAACGAGAAGUACGUGGACGUGCUGACGACGUCGCUGUCGCUUAAGGAUGAUGCUGACGGUGACGGCACCAAGCUCACCGACACUGAGAUUAAAUAUGUUGAAGAGGCCAUAUUCAAACGUUGCGUGCUGUCGCUGUUCCUGGGUCCACCACCUCCACUGCAUACAUUUUCAGGUCAUGCAUCCAUUUUCUCCUAUCUGUUCAUACUUUCUGAGUGAUCAGACAAAGGGAGAUCGGACAUCACUCAAAACGCUCAAAAUCUGGAGAAAAGCAAAGGCAGAGGUGCAAAGCAAAAGUGAAAAGGAAGAGGAAAAGGAAAAAAGAAAAGCAAAAUAAAAAAAAAAUUAAUUUAAAAAAAAAAAUCAUUAUGAUUUAGAUUCAUUUUGUCUGCCAAGAGACAGAGACAGUUGGUGAAAUAAAAAAAUAAAAAAUAAAAAAUAAAAUAAAAAAUAAAAAAUAAAAAUAAAUGAAUAAAAAAAUAAUAAUAAAAAUAAAGAAAAAAAUGUACGUAUAGACGCUAAGUGAAAUAAAGCUCAUUUAUUAAUGUUUUCGAUAAAUUAAAAAUAUGUACAUAUACAUAAAUCAAAAUAAACAAACGAGAGAGAGCCUUCACAAAAGUUGCUCAGGCGGAGCCUUCACAAAGGUCGCUCAGGCGGAGCCUCAGCAGUCGGCGGGGCCACAGAAGGAGGAGGUAUCGGAGGUUGAUCAUUCGGAGCUUUACUACGCGGUACAGCCCCAGAAGAUGAAGGCAAAUGUUGUUAGAACAAACCCACAAACCUCCGAUGAUCAAGUAAAAUCUGACCAUCAGAUUCCUGCAUCUGGUCGAUUUUCCUCUUCAUAUUGGUGGCAUAGUUGUGUGCGAGCUUGUGCAGCUGUUUAUUCUCAUGCUUGAGCCCUCUAAUCUCCUGUUUGAGACUCAUCACUUCAGCCGCCAACGAUUCAACUUGACGGGUUCGAGCAAAUAGGCGUUGGGCCAUGUUGGACACAGAACCCGCACACUGCACACUAAGGGCCAGAGACUCCUUAACAGCCAACUCAUCAGACCGCUUGGAAAGCAAUCUGCUAUCUUUGGGAGUGACAAGGUUCCGGGCCACCACCGCAGCGGUCAUAUCAUUCUUCAUCACCGAAUCCCCAACGGUAAGAGGACCAGUAGGGGAUAUGAAUGAUGGGCGCCAUAUGUUGUCUGGAGAAGGCGGGAUUGCCUCUUCACCAAGAUUCAAGUCAAAACGACGGUCGGAAGGUCCAGACAUUUUCAAAGGUGUUGAAGAAAGAAGAGGUCAGACAGAUCAAGACCUUAGAAGUGCAAGAAGGGAGUUUCUGCAAGCGAAAAUUCAAGUGUGCUUGAAACGAACUGCGUGCCUCUAUAAAAAUCAGCACUCAAUGGGAUUUCAGAGAUCGAAGAGGCAAGCUCAGAGUUCGAAAAUGCCGAUUCAAAAAUCGAAGAGGCAAGCUCAGAAAUCGGAGAAGCAUCUUGCUUUUCCAGACGCAUUAGCCCCCGUCACACGCAAACUCAGCUUUGCGGAAAUCACGGGCAAUUUGUUAAAGCGCCAAUCCCAGAUAUCGAAGAGGCGCCAGUCUUUUCAGCCUUGUCAGCACCCGUCACACGCAAACUCAGCUUUGCGGAAAUCACGGGCAAUUUGUUAAAGCGCCAAUCCCAGAUAUCGAAGAGGCGCCAGUCUUUUCAGCCUCGUCAGCACCCGUCACGCGCAAACUCAGCUUUGCGGAAAUCACGGGCAAUUUGUCGAAGCGCCGAUCCCAGAUAUCGAAGAAGCGCCAAUCUUUUUCAGCCUCGUCAACACCUAUCACACGCACACUCAGCUUGAUGAAAAUUACGGACAAUUUGUCGGAAAAUUAUGAUAAAGAAGAAAGCACGUGAAGCCAUACUGAUCAAUCACGCAUUGGUUACCGACACGAGUAAAAGAAUAGUACCUCUACAGGUACUAACGAAUUUCCUAUAACUGUCCACCUUCACCUUCAUAGCAAGGCAGACACACAGAGCCUCUCUUCAUCUCAAAAAAAUGUUUUCCCAACGAAACCUCUCGAGUCAUUCGGUGUUCCUUAUUCGUUGGAGUACCUCUGCAAGCCAAUGACUCCAAAGCAAAAGUAUCUCAUAUCACCAGGGUAGAAAGCAAGAGUAUCUCAUAUCAUGCACUCUCCCUGUCAUUUCCUUUGUCCUUGUUCCUACCUACAAAGACAAGGAUAAAGAAAACAAUAUGCCGGAACUUCCACUCAAACUCGGGUAAGGAACUGACUGCUUGGAACCCUUCCGUGAUUGCCUACCUAGCACUGCUCUCGAGUACUCGCCUUCCACUGCUGCUGUACUUUCAAAGAAGCUGCCACAUCUGCUUGGAGGACAGAUAAGGCAAGUGAAAAUGAUACCUUGCAGCAUGUGGAGACAAGGUGCAGAAGGAACAAGCAGAGAAGAAUGCGGUCUGCACGAUCAACUCAGCAGAAUGAGUCCGAACUGAGGAACUCGAGAAGCUGCCACAUCUGCCUAAAGAAACAAGCAGAGAAGAAUGCAGCAUGCACAGUCAACUUAGCAGAAAGAGUCUGAGAUGAAGAACUCGAGAAGAUGCCGCAUCUGCCUGAGGACGGUGAACUCGUUUUGACCCUCAAAUUCUUGGGUCGACUUACUAGGCGUUGUGGGCUGCACGUGCCGAUUCACCACCUUUGAAUAAAAUCCUUAAAGACCAAGUCACCAAUCGGAAGAGGAGCCCAUCAAUCUCGAAGAUCAUACCGUUGACCAAACUACUCAGGUGUGAAUUAGAAAGAUUGAACAAAGCAACAAGUCGUCACCUUCACCUCGUGCCUGCUUGCCGUGUGUUCGAGUCAGCCUUCAAGAAUCAAGCCUCAACGGCCUUUGAAGAAGCUUCCAGCCAAAUUCAAAAUCAAGCCUCAACGGCCCUGGAAGAAAUCACAAGUCCGAUUCAAGAUUAAGUGUCUACCAUCCUUGAAUCAAAACCUAGUUCAAGAAUAAGCUGUGGAAAAUCAACAAUUAGAGGAAUCUAGAAAAUCCUUCAACCCAGUUCAAGAUCAAAGCUGUGGAAAGUCAACAAAGCGCAACAAAAUACGUGUCGAUUCACCCACUACCAAAGCCAAAGAUCAUCUACCACAUGAAGCUCCUUGUGGUCCAAUUUCAACCUUCAAGAUCAAGCCUCGACGACCCUUGAAGAAAUUUCAAACAAAAAAUUCAAGAUCAAGCCUCAACGACCCUUGAAGAAAUCUCAAGCCCAAUUCAAGAUCAAGCCUCAAUGGCCCUUGAAGAAAUCUCCAGCCCAAUUUAAGAUCAAGCCUCGACGGCCCUUGGAUCGACAUCUACAGUAAGGGACUUCAAAACGCAUCUCCUACACGUGACAAGCACAUGUAUACGACGUGCCUUGAAGUGGGGGCAUUUGUAGACAUCGAAAUUUCGUAAAUAAAUGUUGACCGAUAAAUCAAAGUGUCAACGCUCAUGUAUUACAUAAAUUUUACACGUAGCGUGUGACUCAACGAAAAUUGAAAUGAGUUGGAAAAGUCAUCAAAUAGGACAUGUGUCAACACCUGGCAGAAACGACUUAUUUCAUCUGGGAUAUUAUAUUCAAAAUUAGGCAUUGGAAAAUUCUAUAAAUACAAGCCCAUUUCAUUCAUUUAAGGGAACCAAUUCAUAUUACACCUUGAAGCUCUGAAGCUCUGAAACUCCGAAGCUCUCAAGCAUCCAGGUUCCCGAAGAAUCAAGAAAGCCUUCUUCGUUCUUCGUUCAUCGUUCUUCCAAGAUCAAGCCCCGACGGCCCUUUGGAUCAACAAGCAUCCACCAAUUCAAGAUCAAGCCCCGACGGCCCUUGAAGAAAGUGUUCUUCGUUCUUCGUUCAUCGUUCUUCCAAGAUCAAGCCCCGACGGCCCUUGGAUCAACCAUCCACCAAUUCAAGAUCAAGCCCCGACGGCCCUUGAAGAAAGCACCAUCGUUCAUCAUCAGUUCAUCCAAGAUCAAGCCCCAACGGCCCUUUGGAUCAACAAACGUCGACAAACCCACACAUCCAACCGUUCUUCAAGAUCAAGCCCAAAAGCCCUUGGAGAUCCGUUCAUCACUGUUCUUCAAGAUCAAGCCCAAAAGCCCUUGGAGAUCCGUUCGUCACUGUUCUUCAAAGAUCAAGCCCAAAAGCCCAUUUGAAGAUCCGCUCAAAUCCACCUUCAAGAUCAAGUCCACGGCCCUUGAAGAACGUUCAUCCUUAGAUCAAGCCCAACGGCCCUUUGGAUCAAUCACACAUCCACAAAUACACACCUUACGGAGAUCGAAUCAGAGGAUCAAAAUAGAGAGAGAUUGUAACCCAAAAUCAUCAAAUACAAAUAUUUGUUUGUGCCGCGUUGUUCUUGUCUCUUUCGUUUCAGGAAUUUUCCGUGUUCACAGUUGGAUUAUGACUUGUUCUUGAAUGUCGGAGUAUGACUUCUUAGUGAGUGUUGGAUUAUGACUUGUGGAAUGUUGAAUUAUGUGUUAGGUUACAGGUGUAUAUUCAAUAUGAAUACCUCUGAUGAUGAUGUUCAGGAUUUGGAGGAUGGUGUAAUUAUAUGCGCUGUAGCGAGAGCUAUUGAAACAUAUGCAUUCUUCUCUAAGGAGCAUCAUUGAACGAACUUUUGGGGUAUGGAAGAAAAGAUGGGCAAUUUUAAGGGAUAUGCCUAAUUACCCGUUCAAUAAGCAAGUGAAGAUUGUCAUUGCUACAAUGGCUCUUCAUAACUACAUACGGAGGUAUUCUGAAAGUGAUCGUCAUUUUGAUGACCCCAGGGACUAUUGUGAAGAGAGCGAUAAUAGUGAUGAUGAUGAUGAAGAAUACCAAAAUUAUCAAGUUGAAUGAUCCCAUGAGAUAGAAGCAUUAAGAAAUAGAAUAGCAGCAAGUUUGAUGAAUGCAUCUAAUUAGACUACUUUCAAGUACAUUAACAAUAUUGUACUAAUGAAUCCUAGCUAUUCAGUCUAAAAUAUUUCAAUUGAAAUACUUUGUCAUACUAAUUAAUAUUUAAGAUAAAGUUUAUAAAUAUUUCUUUUUAAAAAAUAAAGUAUAUUUAAUAAUUCACUUUUAUUUGUUAAGAAAAUUAAAUUAAUAGCACAUAUAGUAUUAUACCCUUUUUGGUCAUUUCACACAGUCACAGCUUUUUUACAUAAAAGUUUACCAAACACUUUUUUUUCCAAAAGCACUUUUACAAAAAAGUUUACCAAACACUCUGCUGGCUUUAUUUCACAGCCGCUUAUUCUCACAGCACAGUCGUUUAUUCUCAUAGCAGUUUUUUUUCAAAGCACAGCAAUACCAAACCAGCCCUUAGUAUGCGUUAGAAAUUGUGCCGCAAAAAAUUUAAAAAUGGUAUGAAAUAUUAUGUUUGAAAAAAAAAAAAGAUUUUGUUGCAAAAGAUUAAUAUUAUUUACAUAGAAAAUGUUAGGUAGAUUGUUACAUACAAAGAUUUGAUCGGCACAUUCUACACAAGUAGUUCAUGUGGCCUUUGAUUGAUAGUACUUGCACACAAAAGAUUAUAGAUUUUUGUAUUAUUUACAUGCAAAAAUGAUAAAGUUCGUAAAAUUUUGUAGCAGUUACCUCACAUAACUUCCCUUUCGAAAAAUACGAAUUGAUGUGUAUCCUUGAAUGUGAUUCCUGAACAUUAUGAGCAAUCUUAAGAGGGUAAGGAAGUGAACAACAAUAUCGCAUCUAAAGUAAUCUGAAGCAAUAUAUUAUAACCAUUUAAGAUAUCACAUAAAAGCUUAAUAACCAUAGCUACAUUGAAGAAUACAAUGUGAAAUGCAUAGGACAGUCUAAAACAUGAGUCCACCCAUGUGCCACCCGGAGGUUAACAUUUCUCUGUUCAAGUAGAGAUACAACAAAAACAAACUAAUGUGUCAAGAUCUUUGGAAAUUGCUACUGCCUUGGGGGUGGAACUUAAAACUAUUAUUUAUGUUGUUUAUAUGGCUAGCUUUGGAUUGGGGUUUGCAUUCUCUUUAGAUUGAGAUUCUUCUUUGGCAAUGCAUUUUCUUUCUAAUGGAUCUUCUUAGGGUGCCUUGCCAUUUAUCGGUUGAUUGGGCAAAUUGUUGCAUAUUCUCUCUCCCCAUCCAUAUUCUGCUUUCUCACAUUUAUUGCGAAGGAAAUCAAGUGGCGGAUUGUUUGGCAAAUUAUGGUGUUGAUUAUGUUGCGGUUCAUUGGUGGAAUUCUUGUCCGCCAUGUGCAAUUGCGGCUUUUGCUAACAAUCUUUCGGGAUUUCCAAUUUUUCGUUUCUCUUAGGAAUUGUCUUAAUUGUUUUUUGUUUGUAAUAGCCUUCUACUUCUUGUUAGGGUAUGGUUUCAUGUUCCCUCUAACUUUUUGUAUCUUUAUUUUUUAGGAAAACUAACGAAAAGUCCAAAAAAACUUCUUUUUUAACGAAAAACCCAUUUUAAAGGUAUAUUGAAUAGUGUCAGUUAAAGGUAAAAAUGUAGUUUUUCAUUAAAAAUGAACAGUACCGGAAGUGUUUUGUUAAAACUCUUUUUUUUUUCUUCUUCAAUAUAUUCACAAUAAUCUCUUUUUUAUGUUAGGUAUGUUGAAGUGGAAGUGACAUUGCUUUUUUUAUUAAAAAAAAGGAGUGAUGAGUGUGACAGGUUUCUGGUAGAAGUUGGAAUGGCUUCAAUCUAAUUAUGUUUGUAAAUUUUUUGGUGAAAAUCAUGUUUCUAAUUAUUGCUAGCCCAUUGUAUUAAUCUUAAAACAUCAUUACACUCGGUUUUGCAUUAAAUUUUCCGUUAGCUCUAACUACUUCAUGUCUUUUCUUAAAGUCUAUUUCCAAGUUUUCUUAAGUCUUUCUCUACCAAUUUUGCCUGAAAUAAAAAAAAUAGAUACAAGGUGUAUGGAGCAAGAAAUUGGAGAAAACUAAAGACAAAGUUGAAUUAUGUCUUCUUUUAGUUUAUAGAACAAAUAAUUAUUGAAUAUUUUUUAAAUUUUAUUGGUGAAAAAUUAGGUUUGUAAUUUUCAUAUUAAUCAUAGAUAUACAAAAUUUACAGAGGCAAAUAUCAUUUAAAGUUAAAAUUUUACAGAACAAUGGAGCUCUCAAUGAUGCCAAAGUGGAUGAUUUUGGCCACUUUUAUCACCACUAAUUUUGCUGGCAUCAGCUAGGCCCCAACCUGACCCGACCAAGUUGAAUUCAAGUAAUAGGUUUAAGCUCAAUGUUGGAGACAGAGGACUCUCUGGAGUAUGGAGUCUUGGACUGUUUUUUUUUUUCUUUCAGAAAAUGACUCGAAGCUUCUGCUGCUGAUAUGUUGGAACUUAAGGUCAUCUCCAACCGAAUGAGUUAUAUUUAGCCUUCAUCUAAAUUAUAGUCUUGUAAGAAAUUAUUUUUUAAUAAACAGUGUCAGAUCAUAUUUAUAUACAAUCUCUAACCGAAAGACACUAUUUUUAGUCACCUCAAUAAUUUAUUAUUUUAAGUUUGUUCUUUAAUUUUAUCAGUUAAUUGAAUUAAAUCAUAUUAAAAUAAGGUUUCCGGACAUAUUUUAAGGGCUACUUGUCCCUAAAUGUUGUUUUAAGUUUCAUGUUAUUAAAUAUUUUAAAUUUACUUGCAUGUUAACAACUUGAACAUUAAAAUGAUGUAAGAUAGUAUGGAAGGUUGAAAAUGAUAUGAGAAAUAGUGUAGAAAUGACUUAGGUACUUAUAGGGAAAAUUUUGAAUUAAAUUUUUUUUUUUCAAAUUCGUAUUAAAAAAAUAAAAGGCUACAUGAUGUCAACUAGUAGUACAACUGAGUUCAACUUUUAGGGCUGACUGUCUAUAUUUGCCCAACCCUUUGGCCAUUUGGCUAUAUUUUGGCUCGGUGGGUCCCAAAUUUUUUUGACCUAACCCUUUAUUGGAGAUUGAUUUUGUGUCAAAACAGGCUAUAUUUUAGCUUAUAGCCAUUUGGCCAGCUUGGUUGAAGAUGGCCUAAAAGUGAUGAAAGGACCCCCAUCCCCUUCCACAGUUGGCUUUUGAAGUCUUGGUAACUUGACAGUCAACUAUAAUGUCAACUGCUAAAGCCUGAUUCUAUCUCAAUUGCUUAAUUACAGCCUGAUUCUCUCUUAUUAGCACCUAAAUCCCUUUUUAAUUAUAUUGUUUCACACUUUGCGGUUCAUCUCUCUGCAACUUCCUAUGCUAAAGUUGGUAAUCUGGUAUCUCUAAUAUUCCUCUAUUCAUUUUGCCCUAAAAUAAAAUAAAUACAAGGUUAUGGAGGAAGAAAUAGAGAAAACUAAAGACAAAGUUGAAUUAUGUUUUCUUUUAGUUGAUAGAACAAAUAAUUAUUGAAUUUUUUUUAAUUACUGGUGAAAAAUCAGGUUUGUAAUUUCCAUAUUAAUCGUAGACAACAGAACUUACAGAGGCAAAUAUCAUAUAAAGUUAAAAUUUUACAGAACAAUAGAGCUCUCACUGAUGCCAAAGUGGAUUAGGAUUUCGCUGAUGCGUAUACUACUAUUUGGUUCCAAAAUAAUCUCUCUUCCAUGAUAUUAUUGUUGGAUAAUUUGGAAUGGAGACUUAUUUUCUGCAUCACGUGCUGGUUUUUGUCGCACUGACGAAACAAAAGUACUUUUGAAUAGGAUUUGGCUCUCGCUGAUGAUUCCGAAUCUAUGAUCAUUACUUAUUUGAAAGAUUGGCUUGGGGCGAAGAUGGUUUAUUUCCUAAAACUCCUUCGAACACAUGCUUUCCUUCGUUAAGAACCUCCUACUGAGGGUUGGGUAAACUUUAAUGUUGAUGGGUGUCGUAAGGGGAGGCCAAUUUCAUCAGUGUUGGCAGUGUCCUCAAAAACUCAUCGGGAGCAUGGGUUUUUAGUUUUUGUGCUACUCUUGGUCGAGGUGAAAAUCUAUGUGCUGAAGUUUGGGGUGUUUUUAUUGGGGUGCAUCUUGCAUGGAAUAACGGAAUUAAGAAAAUUAUGGUAGAAUCAGAUUGUGCUCUUACGGUUCAAUUCGUUAUAUCUAUCGUGAAAAGAAUUUUGUUACUAAUAAUUUGGCUUGUUUAAGUUUGUCAUGCAGUUUGGGUUGAGUUUUUUUUUUGGGACACUUUAUAUCCGGUCCUUAGUUGGUAUAGAUUUUUGACUAAAACCUUAUUGUUUUUUACUUUUUGAUUAAAGUCCCUAUAAUUUGUCCACAUCAGCAUUUACUGUCAAUAUAUUUCCAUGUCAGCUUUCUUUUUAUUUUACUAAAAUAGUUAAUUAUUGCAUUUUUUAUCCCACGCUGUGUUUUUAUUUCAGGACUCUUAUGCCUUCAACGCCUCUUAUGCUUACCGAACUGAAUUAACGCAUCCGUUCCACCAAAUAAUCACGCUCAUUUGAUUUCGUUCAGUUUUUUAUUUUCGUAACCGCAAAAUCCACAAUAAUCUCACUCAAAUUUUCAAAUUCAUCAUUAUUAUUUUUGAUAUGAAUCCUCAAUUUCACUUUCCGGCAAAAUUUGGGUCAAAAUCAUAUUUUAUCCGCGAGUGUUCGAAGGAGCGCAGUUUUUGGCAGGGGAACUUGUUGAAUCAACGACCCUUACGAGCUAAAAUUCCAGGUAUUGGAACUUCAAUGAUUUCAGCAUGUCCCUUAUUGUUUUGUAGUGUUUUUUUCUAGUGUAUACCAAGUGUUUGUCGAAAUGUUUGAAUGAUAAUUUUGAGUACAAUUCAAUUCAAUUGCACUGUAUUCGUGUUUUACAGUGGUCCAUGAUAUAUGUGGUUUUGAGUGAAUAUUUGAACAGUAAUAGAACUCUAGGAGGGGGUACAAACGAGUUGGCAUGGGGUAUAAUGCAAUAUUUUGUUGAGUUGGGGUAAUAACUAGGUGCGGAUACAUUCUUAAAUGUUGGGAGUGUGAAUUCAUUUUACUAACAUUGACAAGAAUGGGUACGAACUAGGUGGCAUGGGGUACAAUCCAACACUUGUAGACUUCCAGAAUUGGUAUGCAGGGGUACAAACCAGUUGGCAUGGGGUGUAAUGCAAAUGGUUGUUGAGUUGGGGUACAAACUAGUUGGUAUAGAUUUUGACAGGGGGUACAAACUAUUCGAUAUUAACAAGCAGUUGGCAGGGUUAAAAACUAUGAGAUAUUGACUAACAGGGGUGCAAACUAGCUGGUAUAGAUUUUGGCAGGGGGUACAAACUAUGAGAUAUUAAUAAGCAGUUGGCAGGGGUACAAAUUAUGACAUAUUUGACAAUCAGGGGUACAAACUAGUUGGUAUAGAUUUUGGCCGGGGUACAAACUAUGGGAUAUUAACAAGCAGUUGGAAAGGGUACAAACGAGUUGGCAUGGGGUGCAAUUCAAUACUUAUAGAUUGGCAUGGGGAAUAAUGGAAAAUUUGUUGAGUUGGGGCUGUAUAGGCGCGGAUACAUUAUCAGUGUUGGGAGUAUGAAUUCAUUUUAUUAACAUUGAGUUGGAGGGGUACAAACUAUAUCGUGAUGGGGUACAUUCUGAACACAGAUUGUCCCAAGAUCAUUUUACUAACAUUCAUAAGUGUGUAUGGCCCUUUCACCAGCUUGAAAAUUUUGAUAAACGAUGGGGUUCUGAAUGUACAUUGUAGGCACAUUCUCAACAUCUUGAAAAUUUUCUUAAACUUGUUAAUGUUACUAUAUUGUUCCCUUACUAAUAUGUUACAUAAAUACAUAUGGGAGUUGGACACAAGAUUGUGAUGAAGAUUUGUGCAAGAAUUUAAAUGUUUCUUUUUUGGAUAGGUACAUGAAACUAUGAGGUAUCGUUCGAGCCUUCUUCAUUUUGCUAGGUUGUACCCGAGAAUAGAAGGAUUUAUUCGUACCGGGCAUGAUGAAGAGAUGAAAAAAACACCAUUUUGGAACUUGUUUAAGGCAUAUCGUGAUGGUCAUGUUACAAGUGAGUUUUGCAAAAAAAUUGACACAGAUGUUGCUAGAAUAGUAAAUCAGUACAAUAAAGAUAUGAAGUUCUUUGUGUUUGGGGACAUUUAUGCGAGGUUCACACCAAGUGAUAUAGCUGCAAUUCUUGGCUUGCCUAAUAUGGGUUACACACUUAAGCAUACUGGUAUGAAAGGUGUGAGAGUGAAACACACUACAUUUAUGACAAGGUAUUUUUGCGUUCAAAAGGAUCGGGUUACAAAAAGUGACGUUGAGGGUGCACUUAUUAAAUCGGUUGCGGGGGAUACAGAAGAAAGCAAAAAAGAUUUUGUAAGAUUGGUAUGCCUAUACUUCUGCAACUCUCUAUUAUUCUCCAACACAGCAACACAUGUUUCAUGGACCAUUGUCAAAUUAUGCGAAGACCUUGAUCAAAUAGGUGGCUACAAUUGGGCAGCGGCUACUUUUGACUGUCUGUUCAGUUCACUUCACAGGGCAGUCAACCCGAGUUCAGUUAACGGUUGUGUGGUUGCAUUAUUGGUAAGUCACUUUAUAUUGAAACAAUUUUUGUGUGUAUAUAUGUAGUUAAUUUAAUGUCUUAUUAUUAAUAUGGUUGUGAAACAGUUUUGGGCUUGCGAUAAAAUGGGAAUGUGUAACAAAAUUGCUGGAAGGGAAAACAUAUGCCCGAGCUUUUUAAGGUGGAGCAUGACAGAUUUCCAUGAAAAGCUUAUAGUAACAGAUCUUGCCACUAUGAAGGUAUAACAAUUUUUUUAUUAACAUUAUAUAAAAAUCAUUCGAUUCAAGUGACAUUGUAUAUUGAUUUAACUUGCAGUCACAUGUGAACCACGAGAUGGUGCUUUAUGCACACGCGGAUGAUGAGAAUGUACCCAUAAAACUGGAUGAUAUACUUGGAAACGCUGUCAAUAAGGAGGAUGAAAACCACGCCAAUUCACAUAGUCCAGCAACUAAACUUGUCGAAUUUGAUGCUCCAAAUUGGCAACUCAUUGCAACACAAGAUUUUUAUUCCUCAUCAUCCAAGUUUUCCCCGAAUGUCAGCCCACGUGUGAUUGCAACGAAUGGGAUGAACGACAGUGCAGCGGAAAAGAACAACCCGCAGUCUGGAAUGAGUGAAAUGGAUAUUAGAUGUGAAACGGCUGAAAUAAAAGUGGAUGUACUGACAGAGUCAUUGAUUAUUGCUGAUAAUGAUUUGGAGGCUGCACGGAUGCAAAUAGAUACACUAAUUGAAGAGAACAAGAAAUUGAAAAAACAGUUGGCUGCAAUACAGAACAUGGGUUCGUAUUCGUCAGUACUAACACAGUGCUCCAUGUACAGACGAAUCAAAACAAGAGAAGGCAGGAUAAGGCGCAGGCUACCUGAUUUUAGCUAUGGAAGCACUAUUAAAAAGCGAAAUACCAGUAUGAAACGGGCAAGAAACUCAGCUGAGUGCAGUGUUGCAGCCCAUGAUGUCAGUCGGAAAAAGGUAAGAACCGACUCAAAAAAGAUUUGUAAAAAGAAGAAUGUGCUGAAACCAAUUUCUAUUAUAGACCCUGACUUUGUAGAGCCUAUGCGAACAAUGCUUGAAAAUCCGAAAGAGAAAAACACAUUUUGCGAUAGUGCUUCUAAGACUGUUGAUAAGCAUCCAUUAGUACAACAAAAGCAUGUUACCAGUGAUGAAGGCAUGAACUGGGACACCGAUGCUGUUAAAAAAAGACUUGAACUUAAAAAAACCCCUGUGGGUCCAUACUUUGAUGAUGAUGACUUCAACAGGCUUGAGAAAUUUGUGAAUGUUGAAUAUUCAGGGUAAGAAACCUACUUGUUAGUUGCUAUUGUAAUAUGUUUUUCUUUCUUUUUUUUUGGUACGUUGUUGAUUGUUUUUUUAUCAAUGUCAUAUUUUUUUGUAUUUUCAAAUAGGACUGCAUUAUGGAAAAGUGAUCGAGCUAUCAUCCUACAUGAGGAUAUUAUGUUCUUACUCACUAACCAAGCAAUCACUACAAAUGUAAGAUUAUUGAAAACUUGUUUGGAAUACUGAUAUAUUUGGUUUUGUAAUGUGGUUUUGCAUAAUGUUUUGAUUUUGUAGACAAUUGAUGCAUAUGGAGAUAUCUUACACAUGCACCUAGAUAAUGAUAAUAAGAAGAUACAGAGGGAAUCGUAUUUCAUGUCUGCAAAUAUAUGGGUUAGUAACUUAGUAUGGAUAUUUAGUUUUCAAAUUUUGAAUAUUAACCUUGUAUUGGGUGAAAUGGGUCCAUUUUAUUUAAUCGUUACAUGCCAACAGGAAUUCAAGAUCUCCAACAACCUAAAGGCUCUUGAAACAUUUCUUUAUAACCCAUUGCUUAAAGUGUUUGGCAAGUAUGACAUGAUAUUCUUUCCCAUAAGGCAUGGUUUUGAAGAUCACUACACUUUAGCUCUACUUGACACCAUAGAAGGGAAGUGGUACCAUUACAAUCCACGCCUUCCGGAAAAUGGAAAUCUGCAUAAUCCAUGCUUUAACGAUGCUGUGCAAUUAGUAAGUUUAUUUUCUUUACAAUGAAUGAAUACUAUACAAUCGGUUAAACUUGAAAUUUCCACAUUACAUCACCCUCCUAUCUGUAUCAAAGAACAUGUAUGUCAUUACUUUUUUUUUUUUUAUCUUUACGUAGAGGUUGAUUCAUCAUUAUCAUUGCAGAGUAAGAUGGUGAUGGAAUUCCUAAAACAUCAUCAAAAGCGUUCGAUAUUUGCACUUCGCGAGGGAGUUAUUGUCAAGGGUUUAUUCCACCCUGAUAGUGGUGCGAUGGAGGGGAAAAUGUACCCAAUGUCAAAUGAUGAAAAACUUACAUUUCAGAGUAUAAAGGAUAUCCACAUUGAUUGGCCAAUUGUGCUUGUCCAAAAGUGCCCACAACCUCCUCCAGGCUCGUGAGUACAUUAACUUAUUUUGUCAUUCCUAUUAUUUUGUACCUGGAAAAUAUUCAUAUAGUAGCUUAACACUUUAUGAGGAUUAUGAAUAUGCAGGCUUGAUUGUGGCGUCUCAGUGUUAUAUUAUAUGGAGCACAUGUCAAAGAUGUGGCCAAUAAUGGAAAAUUUUGAUGACGAUGAACUGCUCGAGUAUAGAGCAACAUGUGUGGGUGCAUUUCUGAACGAUGAAUCUAAUUGGUCGCAUGCAUAGGGCACCAACAUGCAGUCAUGGCUAUGAAUCUAAUUUGAUGUUUUUGUUUUAUGGUAAUAGAUAUGAUGUACUUUGUGUACUUUAUGGGUUUAUAAGAUUGUUUUUUUUUUAUGAGAACCAAUUGACGUUUGAAUCCAACUAAUGUGAUUACAUUUAAUUAGUUCAUGUUCACGAGCAUAAUGCUUUUUUUCUUUCUUAAUAUGCAGAAUGAAAAUGAAUUGUUAGAGGUACAAAGGGAGGGUACAUUCUUAACGAUGGGAUUUGAAUUCAUGUCACUAGUACAUUAUCAUUUGUUAGUGUUAAUGUAUUCUCACCAUAUUGAAUUCAUUUCACUUCUAAAUUCUUACUUGUUAAUAUUUGUUUUAAAAUUUUAGGUACAUUCUCGACAUCUUGAAAACUUUUUAAAACUAGUUAAUGGUGUUAAUUUGCACCCACUCUCACGAAAAGUGUGAGGGGUAACAUGAGGUAUCAUUCGAGCGUUGUUCAUUUUGAAAUUCUAAAGAAAUUGCACCUUCAACAAUAGAAGGAAAAGUUCUCUGAACAAAAAAAAUGUAGCCAAUGCAAACAGUAUUGUAACCCAUGCUGUAUGGCUCAACUUCUAAAAUUCUAAAUACAAAUGAACCAAAUUUGAAUACAUAGAAUAGAAGCAAAAUUGUCACACCAAGCUCAAAUUGUGUACAAUUUAAAUGUAAAAAAAUUAUGCAAAGACUGAAUAACAAUGGGAGUAGUAGCAUAAGCUUAUAUAAGAACUGAACAAGUCCUCUUAUUGUGAUGGCCCACUUGAUGACACCGACCACACUCCAAUGGUCUAGCUUCCUCCCCAGCAGAUUUGAUCCUCUUGAUCCUUGGUCUACCAGGUUGCUUCCUAGUUUUAGGAGGUUUCACUAUAAAAUCUGUAUCUUCACUCAUGGGAGGCUUAUCUAUUUGAGGAAUAGGUUGAAUUGGAAAUGAAUAGGAAGACUUGUAGUAAUCAGCGCUGAAAUAAGCCUCAGUGUAAUCAAAAGGAUUUGCACCAUUUUUCAAGAUUGCAGCAAGUGCGUGUGAGCAAGGGAAGCCUUUUAUCUGCCAUUGAUGACAUGAGCAGAUUUGUCUUUCCAAGUCAACCAUCAAUGAAGUAUCAUCGGUUUGCACUUCAAACACAAACUCACUAGACCGUCUAACAAGCCAAUGCCUACCAACCUCAAUAGAUGCAACCAUCUCAGCCUCCAUCUCCGGGCAUAAGAAAGUGGUCCAUUUGUUUGCCUCAAGAUAUCUUUCAGCAUUCAUUUCCAUCAACUUAAUUCUUAUACCAUCCACCAAUUGGUAAAUUGGUAAGAGACGCUCGUUACUAAUCCAUGCAUUAAAUGAUUCUGCAACGUUCGACCACAUUUCCCCGUACCUAACACAUCGAAAUAAUAAAAUGAGCAAUCUGCAUAAUUUGGUUAUAUGAGAAAUCUGAGAAAUCAAACAGUGUAGAAACAAGUCAUCUUCAUGUAAUAUUAUAAAAUGACACAUGCAUGAAUAAAAACGAAACUUGUAUUGUGUUUUGGAAGAUAGUAAAUUAACAAAAAUUGUUACCUUUUACCCUUGAAAAAUGCAUCGCAAAAAUUCUCUUGUGGGAGAUCCUUCAAAAAUUUGCGCAUUAUAUUACCUCCUUCCUUGACUAAAGCUGCUCUUUUCAAUUCAUACAUCUCGGGGGUGGCAGCAUAUGCACACUCAUUGAACUUUUGAACAAUUUUAUUUCGAAAAACAGAUCCAAGACCAGAGGGGUACUUUUCUAAUAUGUUUAGCUUGAUGUGAUACAAACAAUAUGCAUGAGGGGAGUCUGGAAAAGUAUGCGUCACAGCCGGAAUCAACCCCUUGUGUCGAUCAGAAAUGAAAGUUAUGGUACGUUGUUGUGGCUCCAAAAUCUUAGCCAAAUUUUUAAGAAACCAUAUCCAAUUAUUUUGGUCCUCACCACCAACUAAUGCGAAUGCAAGAGGAAAGAAUCCUUCAACCAACAGAUUAAAACAUGACAAAAUAAGUGGUCAGCAUUAUAUACCAAACUUAUGAAUAAAAGUGCAUCGUGAGCAAUAUACAUAAUCAGGUUAAAGGUACCGAAUCUUCAAAAUUUUGAAAGAUGCUAUAUAAUCAUGUUGAAUAGGAAGAGUUAUUAUUAUGCAAAUUAUUAAAAUAGAAAAAUUUAAGGGACAUGUGCAUACCUUGAUUGCCAUUUUUACCAAUUGCAACAAGCAAUGUUCCUUUGUAUUUGUCUUUCAAGAAAGUACCAUCCAAAAACAACAUAGGCCUACAAAACUUAAAACCCUCAAUAGAACCACCAAAUGCAAUAAAUAUCCGCUGGAAAUGAAAGGUUUCUUGGUCAAACUCCAAUUCGCAAUGAGAACCAGGAUUUGUUUUUUUGACAGCUUCUACGUACCAAACCAUUUGAUGAUACGACAACGAGUCAUCACCAUGAACUUUAGUUUUUGCAAUCUCUUUCCCAUACCAUGCAUUGUAAUAGGAAAUAUCUAAACCGUAGUCUCUCUUGAAAUCCAUUACAAUAUCAAUUGGUUUAAUACGGGGUCUGGUCCGUAUCUUUUCAACUAUAGCAGAAGCUACAACUUUGGAAGUCAUCAUACCACUUUUCUUCUCACGAAUGCGGCCUGUGCAAGUGUGUUCGUUAUUUAACCUCUUAAUAUAAAAGAAAUUGUUAACACGACAUACUGAUGCAUGCACACGCCAUUGACAACCUUCAGAAUAUUUCUUAUUACAUACAGCUGUAACUCUUUCCCUAUCAUUCUUCACAUACACAAAUGUGAAUCCCAUUUCAACCGCAUACUUACAAAGUUUGUCUCUGAAUUCUUCCACUCCGCCUUCAAAUCCUUGAUUUACAUGAUUGAUGUAGGUCUUCCAAGAGUUUGACAGAUACACUUUGCCUCCCGGUGUUGCAUAUUUCCCUAAAUAGUCAUUCCCAUCACUAUGAAUAUUUCCUUCAAUUAUAAAUGUUUGUGAAGCAUUGGUAUUUCGGCUGACACGAUCAUUAUCACGACACGACUUUUGGUUGAUAACUAUAUCAACACAAUAAUAUUUCUCGUUGACAACCGACAUGUGCAACAUCCGCACAUCCAUAUCAGAUUGCAAUAGGCAAGUAGAAUAUCCAGGUAAAGCAUAUGUAAGAUCGAAUAAACCAUGAGUCAAAUUACUAAGCCUUGAGCAAACCUCAUUGUACACUUCAGAGAAUGUAGUGUGGCAAAAAAUUGGGAUAGAUAUAGUGGUACCCUGAUGAGUGCAUCUCCCCAAUAUAACACCUUCCAUCUGAAAAAUAAAAGAAAGUAGAGACAACAACAACCCAAAGCAUUAUAGCUUGACAUGAAAAAAGUGCAUAUAAAUUUUCAUAAGGAAAAACAAGAAAGAUGAAUUAAACUAUGUCCAGUUACUAUUUGCUGUUCGUACCCCCACUCCAAAUACCGUAUAUGUCAAACAGAAAAAUAGAUGGCAAAAACUCUCUGCCUUAGCUAGUCCUCCCUUGAUUUAUCUGCUCAGUUUAAUGUUGUACCCCUGUCUAUACUUUUACAACUCUCUAUUAAUUUCCAACACAGCUACACGUGAACCAUUGGUAAAAAAUGUACACAAUGCGAUUGAAUUGUACCCAUGCACACCAUAAUAGAGAAAAAGACUUAUUCAAUAAUUUUUAUGAACAAUUUCUAUGCAUACAAAAAUUUCAUAUUCGAAAUUCUCUUUCAAACAUUUCGACAAACACUUGGUAUGCACCAUAAAAACACUGCAAAAACUACAAGAUACAUGCUGAAAUCAAUUAAGUUCCCCAAUACAUGCCAAAAAAUUUGUUAAAGAAUCAUUUUACAUAUGCAAAACCAAUUGCAAAACCAAUUGUGAAAACAAUACUGCACUACCUGUAAAUAUGGGUACAAAAAUUAUAAACCCAAGAAUCUACCAUUACGGCCAAAUCGGUAUAAACGAACUAUGGUGCAAAUUCAAAAAAUGAAAAAAUACCUCGAAUUUUAGCUCGGAAGUGUCGUUGAUUCUUCAAGUUACUCUGCAAAAAAAUGCGCUCGUUCGAACGCUCGUGGAUAAAGUAUGACUUCGACUCAAAUCUUGGCGAAACUUGAAUUUGAAGAAUCAUAUCAAAUAUAAUAAUGCUAGAUUUGAAAAACUGAGUGAGAUUAUUAUGGAAUUUGCGGUUACGAAAAUCAAAAACGGAAGAAAUCAAUUGUGCAGGAUUAUUUGGUGGAAUGGAUGCGUCAAUUCAGUUUGGUAAGCAUAGGAGGCAUUGCAGGCAUAAUAGUUGUGGAAUAAAAACGUAGCCUGGGAUAAAAAAUUGCAAUAAUUAACUAUUUUAGUAAAAAUAAAAAAAGGUGACAUGGAAAUAUGCUGGUAAUACAAUGCUGAUGUGUACAAACUUCAAGGACUUUAAUCAAAAAGUUAAAAGUAACAAGGUUUUAAUCAAAGAGGAUCAAUAAUUAGGGACCGGAUCCUAAUUUCUCCUUUUUUUUUUAACAAGCUCCCACUUCUUAUCAUCGAGUGUUAAUUGCAAAUAUGACUAUGAUUUCGUGAUAUUCUUACGUAAUUCUUUCUUCUUUUAGGGUUUAUGCUCCGCUGUCAUAAAAGAAAAAGACAUUGGAUUGGGAUUUCGGCCACUUGAUUCACUCACAUCAGUUUAGGCCCCAACCCGACCCGACCAACUUAAAUUCAAGUAAUGGGCUUAAGCCCAGUGUUGGAGACAAAAGGACUCUUUGGAGUUUGGAGUCUGGGACUGUUUUUCUGCUGCUCAUACGUUGGAUCUCCCUCCCAUACCCUUUCGCUGUUGGCUUUUGAAGUUUUGGUAACCUUGAAGUCAACUACAAUGUCAACUGCUAAAGCCUGAUCAAAUCUCUGCAUGCAACUGCUCCAAGGUAGUCUCUCUGGCCGCAACUUCCAUCUCAAUUGCUUAAUUAGAGCCUGAUUCUCUCUUAUUAGCACCUUAAUCCCUUUUUAAUUAUAUUGUUUCUCACUUUGCAAUUCAUCUCUCUGCAACUUCCUAUCCUAAAAUUGCUAUUCUGGUAUCUCUAAUAUUGCUGACAUGAAAAAUUCAAAAUGCUAUUUUGCCAAAAUCACAUUGGUUACUUUGAUUGGUGCCUGAUUGCGUGGUUUACAGUUAUGCCUCGUUUGGUGUCUAGGAUUGGAUUGGAAUUGAUAACCCUCUAAAGAUGCCUCGUUUGGUGUCUCGGAUUGGAUUGGAAAGGAUAACCUUUAAAUUCAACGUACAUUGAAGGGAGACCAAAAUUAUAUUUCGUUUUGGGGAGGAUCGGAAUGCACAAGUUUUUUUUCCUCGAGUAAUCCAUCUCCUACCCCCAACCAAGUUGACCGUAAUUUUUUCAUUUCUUCAUUCAAAAUACCUUGGCUUAUCCAUUCGAAUCCAAUCCUUUAUACCAAACUAGGCCUUUGGGUUAUGAAAGUAUGAUGCUUUGACUACUUUUGGGUUUGCAGGCUGCGAAUAUGGCCGAUUCUUCUUCUGAUUCUGUUUCUUUUACCCCUCCUCGAGAAAAGUAUGAUGUCUUUCUUAGUUUCAGAGGUGUGGAUACCCGUGAUACUUUUACCAGCCAUCUCUACGCUGCUCUAGUUCGCAAGAAAAUUGACACCUACAUAGAUUACAAGCUUGAGAGAGGAGAUAAAAUUGGACCUGCCCUUCUCGAUGCAAUAGAGAAAUCAAAGCUUUCGGUGGUCAUUUUCUCGAAAGACUAUGCUUCGUCCACAUGGUGUUUGGAUGAGCUUGUGCAUAUACUAGGAUGCAAGGAAAGAUAUGGACAGACUGUUAUACCCAUCUUUUACGGAAUAGAUCCAUCACAUGUACGAAAACAACAGGGGAGUUAUGCAGAUGCGUUUGCUCACCUUGAAAAACGUUUCAAGGACAAUUUGGACAAGGUGAACAAGUGGAGGGAUGCUUUGAAGGAAGCAGCCGAUAUGUCAGGGUUUGAUACUUCUAGCAAAAGAGGGUAACUUACUCUCUAACUCGUACCAAUUUCUGCUUGUGACCAUCUGGUUCAUCAAAUAUUUGUUAAGGCAUGCUUACUAAAUAUUGUAUCAUAUUUCUUAGGACGGAGGCCAAUUUUGUUGAGGACGUUGUCGAUGAUAUUAUGACCAAAUUGAAUCGCAAAUCAUUACGUGAUUUAAAGAAGGACAUGGUUGGAAUUGGAACUCAAAUUGAGCAAAUUGAAUUGUUAUUAUGCAUUGAUUCACCAGAUGUUUGCACCGUAGGUAUUUGGGGCAUGGGUGGUAUUGGCAAGACCACCCUUGCUGAAGCUGUUUUUCACCGACUCACUUCUAAAUUUGAGGCUUCAUGUUUUCUUCCAAAUGUGAGGGAGGAGUCAGAAAGACAUGGACUAAAGCACUUGCGGAAUGUACUUCUUCGUGAGAUACUAAACGAAAAAGAUCUAAAUAUUGACACUCCAUCUAUAGGACUAUGUUUUGUUCCAGAAAGGCUCAGCCGUACAAAGGCACUCAUUGUUCUUGAUGAUGUGAAUGAUUCAAAGCAAUUGGAACUUCUAGUUGGUGAUAAUAUUCGGUUUGGUCGCGGAAGUCGAAUCAUUAUAACUACUAGAGAUAGGCGCCUUCUUAAGGUAAUCGUUGAUGCUGAUAAGAUCUACAAGGUUGAGGGAUUAAACUGUGAUGAAGCUCUUCAGCUCUUUCAUUUGCAUGCUUUCAAAAAUAAAUCUAUGGUUCCAUAUUAUACAGAGUUGUCGGAAGUGGUGGUAGAAUAUGCUGGAGGCAUUCCAUUAGCUCUUAUAAUUUUGGGUUCCUUGUUCCUUCACUGUGAGAGCAAAGAAGAUUGGGAAGAUCAAUUGAACGAGUUGAAAAGGUUUCCCAACCGAAAAAUUCAGAAUGUGUUGAGAUUAAGUUAUGAUGGAUUAGAAAAAAAUGCAAAGGAGGUAUUUCUUGAUAUAGCAUGUUUUUACAAAGGGAUGGAUAUAGGUUUUACAAAAGAAAUGUUAGCUAUUCGCGGUUUCUUUGUAGGAGGGAUUAAAGUUCUCAUUGAUAAGUCUCUCCUAUCAAUUUCAACAAGGAACUGCCUAGAGAUGCAUGAUUUGUUACAAGAAAUGGGUCGGGAAAUUGUUUCUGAACAAUGUAUUGAAGAGCCCGGAAAACGCAAUAGGUUGUUCAUUGCUGACGAUGUCUGUCGUGUAUUGAAGAACAAUACGGUAAGAGAAAAAUGCCUUCAACUUUGUAUGACAAGACACCAGUGAAACACUCAUUUCAGUACAAAUUGCUGCAAUCUUAUCCUUAUUUAUAAUGUGUUUUUUGAUUGUAGGGAACUGCAACCGUUGAAUGCAUAUUCUUUAACCUCUCUCAGAUUAGAGGGAUACAAGUGAGUCCUGCAGCCUUCGAAAAGAUGUACAAUCUCAAAGUGCUAAGGAUUGAAAACAAAAGCUUUGACAAGAAGUACAACAAAUUAUACCUUUCUGAUGGUCUUCAGUCUCUUCCCGAAGCACUUAGUUAUAUUUACUGGGAGGAAUACCCUUUGAAAGCCUUACCAUCAAAAUUUUAUCCAGGAAAUGUUAUUGAACUCCGAAUGCCCUACAGCCAAGUUGAGAAACUUUGGGAUGAAAGCCAGGUAUUUAUUCUUAUUUUAGUUCUUGUAUAAAAUGGGGGUGGAGCUAUUCAAGGCUUACUUAUAAACUCUUUGUCAUUUCUCGUUCAUUUGUUACAGAUUUUUGGGAACUUAAAAGAGAUUGAUCUAUGUUUCUCCAAACAUCUAAUUGAAGUUCCAGAUCUAUCUCGAAGUCAAAAAAUUGAGCAUAUAAAUCUUGGUGGCUGUACAAGUUUGGUUCGGAUUCCUUUGUACUUUCAGUAUCUUGAAAAGCUUAAGCAUCUUCAGCUGGAAGGGUGCUCAAAUCUCAAAUAUCUUUCGGAGAUGCCAGGCAAUAUUGAAUCCUUAAAUUUAUCUAUGACUGCAAUAAAUGAAUUGCCGUCAUCAGUUUGGUCUCAUGAAAAGAUUUUGCACUUGGAUAUUCGAUCUUGUAAGAACCUUAAGAAUCUUCCAAGUUGCAAUUGUAAGCUGAAGAUCUCAGGUACUUUUAGUGUAAGAGACUGCUCAUCUCUUGGCAUGUUUUCAGAGCUUCCCAAGGCUAUAAAACUGUUAGAGUUGACUGGGACAGCAAUAGUUGAACUGCCGUCAUCAAUCGAGUGUCUUUCUGACCUCAUUGAAAUUCAACUGGAAAAUUGCAAAAAGUUUGCGAAACUCCCGUCAAGCAUUUGUAAGUUGAAAUCUCUUGAGAGACUUGAUCUCACUGGUUGCUCUGAAUUUGAAUGCUUUCCAGAAAUCUCGGAGCCUAUGGAUCAUCUAGAAUUUCUUAGUUUAGAAAGAACAGCAGUUAAAGAGCUGCCCUCAUCAAUCGAGUGCCUCUCGGGUCUCACUUCAAUCAAAUUGAAUGACUGCAAAAGGCUUGUGAGUCUCCCAACGAGCAUUUGUAAGUUGAAAUCACUUCACAGACUUGAUCUUACUGGUUGCUCUGAAUUUGAAUAUUUCCCAGAAAUCUUGGAGCCUACAAACCAUCUGGAAUUGAUUGGUUUAGAAAGAACAGUGGUUAGAGAGCUACCGUCGUCAAUUGGAAAGCUAUCUGGGCUUCAAACAUUAGAGCUAUAUCUCUGCAAGAACCUCGAGUUUGUCCCUAAUAGCAUCUACAAUUUGAACUGUCUUAAAACUCUUAGCUUUGAUGGCUGUUUAAAACUUAAAGAAUUGCCUCCCUUCUCGGUCGGGUUGUGCUCGUUGGAAAGACUAAACCUUAGUUACUGCAGCAUACUGGAGAUCCCUGAUCACCUCACUUGCAUAACCUCAUUACAAGAUUUAGAUCUAAGUGGAACCUUGAUUAAAAGCCUACCUACAAGCAUCAAACGAGCAUUUCAGAUGCGGUGGCUGCGCUUAACCAAUUGCAAAAGCCUUCAAACUUUACCAGAGCUCCCAUUGCUACAUUCUCUCGAAGCACAUGGCUGCACAUCUCUGAAGACAGUGUCAAGUUCAAGGACUGCACUCGCACAAGGUUGGGAUGAUUAUGAAGUUAUCCGAGGGCUUCCAGAGGAACUUAAAUUUUCGAAUUGUGUAAAGUUGGAUGAGAAUGCAUGGAGCAACAUAAUGUCUGAUGUGCUGAUUAGAAUUGUGCGAAUGGCAAUAGCAUUAUCAAUCCUUAGAGUUCAAGAUGAAGUAACAUAUGUAUGGACUCUCUCUCUAUCUCUCUCUCUCUCUCUCUCCCCCCCCCCUUGUUGUUUACUAGAAUAUGUUGGUAUGAUUUCUAACAAAUUAAGGUUGGAGGAGCUGCUAUUGUUUGAUUCAAUAAUCAUGAUGUUCAUCCAUGGCACAGGACUUUUAUCAUGCAAGAUAUUCGACUCCCUUUGUAUGUCCAGGGAGUGAAAUUCCAAAUUGGUUCAGCCAUCAAAAUGAGGGAUCUUCAAUAAAAAUCAAGCUUCCUCCAGAUUGGUUUAACACAGAUUUCUUGGGUUUCGCUCUAUCUGUUGUUGUUUCAUUUGAUAACUAUAAUGUUAUACGGGGUUUGAAUUUUGGAUGUAAAUCUAAUUUCAAAAACCGUUAUGGUGGAAGCCAUGAAUCUGAUCGUGAAUUCAAUGGUUGGACCACGGAUGAGACCAUCUAUAAUCUUGGAGAACAGGAUGACUACAAUUUCAAUGCUGACCAAGUGUUUGUGUGGUAUGGUGACUUUGAUCUUCUAGAGGGAGAAAAAUCCUCCAGUCCUUUUCCGAAUGUUGUCACUGAGCCCUCUCUGGACUUCUAUGUGGUUGAUCAUCUCGACAGACCCGAGGUGAAGGUGAAAAAGUGUGGGAUCCGCCUGCUGUAUGCCCAAGAUUCCGAGAAUUUUGAUGUCAUGUUGGGAGGUGAAACAAAAGUAGAAGAAGAUGCUAAAACUGAGAAACUUGGUGAUGAAUCUGCAGCUAGUGACAUUUUUAGCUCGUACAAGGAACAAGAAGAUGAAAUAUUCAAUCAGAGAAUUAGAAAGAAAAGGAGAACUGGAGGCGCAAGAGCAGUCAUGUUUGUGGAAGAAGAUAAUGGAACUAAGAGUCUUCCUGACAAGUCUGCGGCAAGUGUAAGCAAAGUUUUCAGCUCAUGCGACGAACAAGAAGAUGAAUUCCUUCACCAGAGAAUUGGCAACAAAAGAACAAAUAGAGGUGCAAGAUCAAGCAUGUUCAAAGAGACCAAAAUGUGGUGGUGGAUAUUGUUCUUGGUUUGGGCCUCUCUUCUUGUUUGGGUUCUGUCCUUCGUGUUGUUGUAAGCCUUGUGGGCUGAAGACGGUUUCGGGUUUCUUAAGCCUAUGGAUUUUCUAGCGCAGUCGAGCCCUUCUCCCUCCCGUGUACAAAAGUUAAUAAAAAAAAAUCGAAUUUUGAUUAUAAUACCAUUGAAGGUACGCAGUUCUCCCCAGUCCUCUAUAGUAUCUAAUUAUGUUUAAGUUUAAAUCACUAUUAUUGCAGCCAUCAUCUUAUUACAAGUUGCAACUACUAUAUCGCAAAUGGAUGACAUGAUUAAAGAAAUUCAAACAGAUUGUCAGAUUAUUGCUAAUUAGAAGUAGAUUUAAAAUUUAAAAUUGCAAACUUUCAUCUAAACUAAUAGUGACGCAAAGUUGACAUUCACACGGGUCCACAUAUCCAAGAUUCCCCUUCCGAUUGGGGCUUGCAUCCUUUUAAAAUUGUUCUCCACUAGACAACACACAAGGUUUGUGACAAUCAUAUUACUAUUUUUUAUUUCUCAUCCCGGACUUUGCCCUUUAAUUAUAACAAAUAAUGAAAGAUCUAAACAACGGAAAAAUAGAAGAAGAAGAAGAACAAAAAAAUGGCUUGCCGGCCAUGUCUUGGAUAUUAUGUUGAUGUGAUUCCCUUUUCUUUAGUUCGAUUAAUGGUUGAAAGUUUCUUGGCACAGAAGCCUGAUCAUUUAGUCUCUGCAUGAAACUGCUCUCUCUUCUCUUGCUUCCUAGCUAGUAACGAAGGCAGCUUUCUCUCUGCAACUUCUUCAUAGCACUCUUGCUUAGUUCAAUCUUGAAACACAACUUGUUCUUGAUUACAUUUUUUUCUCAACAUUUCCGGAGGCAAUUAAUUUCUCUCCACUUUGAAUUAAACUCUGCACUUUCUGAACAUAGUUGGUAUGAUAUCUCGUACUAAUCUCUUUUAUGUCACAAUUGUACGAAACUGGUCAAAGUUGGGGAGAUUUGUUGGUCCCUCAUUUCUUAAAUGAAUGAUUAAAUAUGCAGUCAAGCAUCUCUAAUUUGCAUGUUUUAUGAACAUAUGUAUAUAUGGCAAUUUAUAAACGUUCUCUUUAUUGAAUGUGUUGCAAUAAUUCAGUAUGACAAUAUAAGCAUAUCGUAUCAAAACUAGGUGGAAUGAGGAGGUACAAACAAAGGUGAAGGCUAAGAAGGAAUGUUGUAAAACCUUAUACAAGGAUAGGACCGAUGAAAAUGGUGAAAUGUAUAGAAGAGCGAAGCAAGAGGCGAAGAAAGCUGUGAGAGAAGCUAAGUUAGCGGCUUAUGACGAUAUGUAUAAGCGACUAGAUACCAAAGAAAGAGAGUUGGAUAUCUAUAAACUAGCUAGAGCAAGGGAAAAGAAGACAAGGGACCUAAACCAAGUGAGGUGCAUCAAGGAUGAGGAUGGAAAGGUUCUUGCUACAGAGAACGCGGUCAAAGACAGAUGGAGAGGUUAUUUUCAUAAUCUUUUCAAUGAAGGACAUGAAAGGAGUACUCCUUUAGGGGAGUUGAGUAACUCAGAAGAGUGUAGAAACUACUCCUUUUAUCGUCGAAUCAGGAAGGAAGAAGUGGUUGUAGCUUUGAAGAAGAUGAAGCAUAGAAAAGCAGUGGGCCCAGACGAUAUACCGAUUGAAGUGUGGAAAGCCUUGGGAGAGACAGGUAUAGCAUGGCUCACUGACCUUUUCAAUAGGAUUUUGAAAACGAAGAAGAUGCCAAACGAGUGGCGAAAGAGCACCUUGGUGCCUAUUUACAAGAAUAAGGGUGACGUACAAAAUUGCAUGAACUAUAGGGGUAUUAAGCUAAUGAGUCAUACAAUGAAGCUCUGGGAGAGAGUCAUUGAGCAUAGAUUGAGGCAAGAGACACGGGUUUCGGACAACCAAUUCGGGUUCAUGCCAGGGCGCUCAACCAUGUAGGCAAUCUAUCUCUUACGAAGAUUGAUGGAAAGAUAUAGAGAUGGGAAAAAGGAUUUACACAUGGUCUUUAUAGAUUUGGAAAAAGCGUAUGAUAGGGUCCCAAGAGACAUUCUUUGGAGGAUUUUAGAGAAGAAAGGAGUACGAGUAGCAUAUAUCCAAGCUAUAAAGGAUAUGUAUGAAGGAGCAAAGACUGCCGUAAGAUCUCAUGAAGGACAAACCGAAAGCUUCCCCAUAACUGUAGGAUUACAUCAAGGCUCAUCCUUAAGUCCUUACCUUUUUGCGUUGGUAAUGGAUGAGUUAACAGGAUAUAUUCAAGAUGAUAUUCCUUGGUGUAUGCUUUUCGCAGACGAUAUAGUGUUGAUAGAUGAAACUCAGGAAGGGGUAAAUGCGAAGCUUAACCUUUGGCGAGAAGUGUUGGAAUCUAAAGGUCUUCGCCUAAGCUGAUCAAAGACAGAAUAUAUGGAGUGCAAGUUCAGUGCAAAUGGAGGCUAAAAUGAGUUAGAGGUGAGGAUCGGAGAUCAGGAAAUACCAAAGAGCGACCGUUUUCGCUACCUAGGAUCUAUCUUGCAAAAGAACGGAGAAUUAGAUGGAGAUCUCAACCAUAGAAUACAAGCUGGAUGGAUGAAGUGGAAGAGUGCAUCCGGCGUGUUGUGUGAUCGUCGUAUGCCACUGAAGCUUAAGGGAAAAUUUUAUAGGACGGCAAUAAAGCCGGCGAUGCUGUAUGGCACAGAAUGUUGGGCGGUGAAGCAUCAACACGUACACAAAAUGGGUGUAGGGGAGAUGAGGAUGCUUCUUUGGAUGUGUGGGCACACGAGAAAGGAUAAGAUUAGGAAUGAGGAUAUCCGAGGUAAAGUAGGAGUAGCCGAAAUUGAAGGAAAACUGAGAGAAAAUCGGUUACGGUGGUUUGGACAUGUGCAAAGAAGGCCUACUGACGCUCCGGUUAGAAGAUGCGACUACGGGACAGAGGUUCAGGGCCGAAGGGGUAGAGGAAGACCUAGGAAAACUUUGGAAGAGACUCUAAGAAAAGACUUAGAGUACUUGGAUCUAACGGAGGACAUGACACAGGAUCGAGCACAAUGGCGUUCUAAGAUUCAUAUAGCCGACCGACUCAGUGACUUGGAUUUUUCAAGUCUCCAAUCGAGAAGUUUUCCCCACUCGGGAAAUUAAGGGAACACUACCUCAACCUACAUGCUCCACUCACAAAGCUUCAACAUACAAGCUUCAACAAAAGAAAAAUUCAAAGAACUUAGUGAAGAAGGCUUUGGUGUAUUUAACACAAUACGUUGAAAUGAAACAAAGCUUAUUUAUUGAUAUCUCUAAGAAGUUACAAAUAUGUACAUAUACACGAGCCAAAAUAAACAAACAAGAGGGAGCCUUCACAAAGGUUGCUUAAGAGAAGUCUCAGCAGUCGGCAGAGCCCCAGAAGAGAAGGCACCGGAUGGGGAUCAUUCGGAGCCUUAGUACUGGACAACACCCUAGAAGGAGGAGGCAUCGGAGGUUGAUCAUUUGGAGCUUCAUUACGCGGUACAGCCCUAGAAGACGAAGGCAAUAAAUGCCUUUGGAACAAACCCACAAACCUCUGAUGAUCAUGUAAAAUCUGACCAUCAGAUUCCUUCAUCUGGUCAAGCUUCAUCUUCAUGUUUGUAGCAUAGUCAUGUGCGAGCCGGUGCAACUGUUUAUUCUCAUGCUUGAGCCCUCUAAUCUCCUGUUUGAGACUCAUCACUUCAGCCGCCAAUGAUUCAACUUGGCGGGUUCGAGCAAAUAGGCGUUGGGCCAUAUUAGACAUAGAACCUGCACACUGAACAUUGAGAGUCAGAGAAUCCUUAACAGCCAACUUAUCAGACCGUUUGGAAAGUAGUCUGUUAUCUUUGGGAGUGAGAAGGUUCCUGGCCACCACCGCAGCGGUCAUAUCAUUCUUCAUCACGGAAUCCCCAACGGUAAGAGGACCAGUAGGGGAUAAGAAGGAUGGGCGCCAUAUGUUGUCUGGAGAAGGCGUGGCUGCCUCUUCAACAAGGUUCAAGUCAAAACGAUGGUCGGAGGGGCCAGACAUUUUCAAAGGUGUUGAAGAGAAAAGAGGUCGGACAAAUCAAGAUCUUAGAAAUGCAAGAAGGGAGCUUCUACUGGUGGAGAUUCAAGUGUGCUUUGGAACUUAAUACCAGCCUCUAUAAAAAUCUGCACUCGAUGGAGCUUCAGAAAUCGAAGAGGCGCCUGCUCAGAAAUUGAAAAGGCGUUUGCUUUCUUAAAAGCUGGGCUGCUCAGAGACCACGAGGGCCGAUAUCAGGAAUCGAAGAGGCGUUUGCUUUCUCAAAAGCUGGGCUGCUCAAAGACCAUGAAGGUUGAUCGCAGAAAUCGAAGAGGCGCUUGCUUUCUCAAAAGCUGGGCUGCUUAGAGAUCACGAGGGCCGAUCUCAGAAAUCGAAGAGGCACCUGCUUUUUCAGCCUUGUCAGCACCUGUCACAUGCACACUCAACUUUGCGGAAAUUACGGGCAUUCUGUCGAAGAUUUCUAGUGAAGUAGAAAGCACGUGAAUGUUACUGUUCAAUCAUUCACUUUCCACACGCAACAUCAGCUCACGGGUACCACAAAUAACUUUGCCAAAAAUCUCUGACAAAGUUUAGACACGUGAAGCUUACAGCUCCCAUUACAUCGCUAUGACCAAGAAGGGUAAAAGAAUAGCAAAGAAACAGCACUAACAAAGUUUAGACACAUAAAUUUUGAAGGUCUAGCUACCAUAUUAUUACCCACAAGGGUAAAGGAACAGGACCACUGCUGGAUAAUUGGAAAGUCCCUGUGGGUCAACCUCUGUGCUCCGUGGCAAGGUAGACUAGCAAACAGGCCUAACCUUUACUCACAUUCGAGAAAACACUCCCAACAAGAUUGCUUGCUUCAAGAUCGAAGAGGCACCGUCCUCCGAAUCUCGAGAGCCAGAUUCCCAACAUGAUUACUUUCUCAAAAAGCAACGAGACACCGCUCUCCGAAUCUCUAGAGCCAGACUCCUAGCAGGAUUGCUUUCUCAAAAAUCGAUGAGGCACCGUUCUCCGAAUCUCGAUAGACAGAUCCCCGACAGGAUUGCUUGUUCGAAAAUCGAAGAGGCACCGCUUUCUCAACUUCGAGAGCCCUUUAGAUAAAGCUUGUCUGUAAUCCUCACACCGCUUUCUCAACUUCGAGAGCCAUAUCUCGUUGGAUAAAGCUUGUCUGUAAUCUUCACACGUAACGUCAGCUUUCCAGAUAUCACAGACCACUUUUUCAAAGUGCUCUGACAGAGUUAAAACACGUGAAGCUGGCAGCUCCCACUACCGUGCUAUGACCAAGCAGGGUAAAAGAAUAGUAUUACUCCUUCUUGUUAGGGAAACUCCUAUAUAUGUCGACCUCCAUCCUCAACGGACAGGCAGACCUGCAAAAAUGAUCAACCCUUCCUCAUAUCUGAGAGGGCACUUCCAACGAAGCCUCUCGAAAUACUCAGCUUUCUUUCCCCCCGAGAAUACCUCUGCAAACAAGCUACACCAGAGCAAGAAUAUCUCAUAUCAUCAGGGUUAAAAGCAAGAGUAUCCCAUAUCAUGCUUUUUCCCUGUCUUUUCCUUUGGCCUUGUUCUUACCUGCAAGACAAGGAGAAAGAGAGCAAUCAGUCAGCACUUGGAAUCAAGCUUCCAGUCCGGAACUGACUACCUGGAACCCCAUUGCUCUCGAGUACUCAUCUUCAACAUCUUAUGCUUCCCGAGAAGAUACCACAUCUGCCUGAGGAACAAAUAGGGCAAGUGAGAAGGAUACAAGGAAGCAUGUGGAGACAAGCGCAACAGAACACGUGCUGAUACAUCCACUACUUUGUCAACAGCAAAAGUAUCCCAUAUCAGCAGGGUCGAACGUACUCUAGAUUUGAUGGACUUGUUUUGACCCUCAAAUUCUUCAGUCAGCCUUAUACUCUGGCGGAAACAAGAAAACCCUCCAGCCCAGUUCAAGAAUAAGCCUGUGGAAAGUUACUUCUUCAAAAGCAAAAGUAUCUCAUAUCACCUUUUCUCCUUUUCUUCUCUUUAUCCUUCAUGCUACCUGCAAGAUAAGGAGAAGGAUAACAAUCAGCCGAAACUCGAAAUCAAACUUCUGAUCUGGGAUUGAUUGCUUGGAGCUCUGAUUGCUUACCUUGUAUGUCACUCUUUCAGCAGAUCCCCUAGCUCGGCGACUUAGGGGACUCCUACUACAUGGUUUGUAUCGCGCUUGACCAAGUCUGAAACUACAAGUAAGCGUCAAGUGAAAUUGAUACAUUACCUUGUGCAUCUCCACCAGUUAAAGAUACCACCCCUGGAGGGAGGAAGAGUACUUCCAAAGAAGAUGCCACAUCUACCUAUGAGACAGAUAAGGCAAGUGAAGACGAUACCACACUUCGGUACUUAAAAGUUUCGUGAUUACGAGAUCAUUCUUCCACAAUAUUUCCUAAUGUCAUUUGUACUAAAUCAUUCACUUGUACUCACUAAAUGAGAGCUUGAACCUAUAUACUGUGUAAACCCUUCACAAUUAAUGAGAACUUCUUUACUCCGUGGACGUAGCCAAUCUGGGUGAACCACGUACAUCUUGUGUUUGCUUCCUGUCUCUAUCCAUUUACAUACUUAUCCACACUAAUGAUCGGAGCAAUCUAGCGAAGAUCACAAACUUAAUAUUUAAGAUGAUAUUCUUUGGUGUAUGCUUUUCGCAAACGAUAUAGUGUUGAUAGAUGAAACGCAUGAAGGGGUAAACGCGAAGCUUAACCUUUGGAGAGAAGUGUUGGAAUCUAAAGGUCUUCGCCUAAGCUGAUCAAAGACAGAAUAUAUGGAGUGCAAGUUCAGUGCAAACGGAGGCCAAUAUGAGUUAGGGGUGAGGAUUGGAGAUCAGGAAAUACAAAAAAGCGACCGUUUUCGCUACCUAGGAUCUAUCUUGCAAAAUAACGGAGAAUUUGAUGGAGAUCUCACCCAUAGAAUACAAGCUGGAUGGAUGAAGUGGAAGAGUGCAUCCGGCGUGUUGGGUGACCGUCGUAGGCCACUGAAGCUUAAGGGAAAAUUUUAUAGGACGACAAUAAGGCCGGCAAUGCUGUAUGGCAUAGAAUGUUGGGCGGUGAAGCAUCAACACGUAGGUGUAGUGGAGAUGAGGAUGCUUCGUUGGAUGUGUGGGCACACGAGAAAGGAUAAGAUUAGGAAUGAGGAUAUCCGAGGUAAAGUAGAAGUAGCCGAAAUUGAAGGAAAGAGGAGAGAAAAUCGGUUACGGUGGUUUGGACAUGUGCAAAGAAGGCCUACUGACGCUCUGGUUUGAAGAUGUGACCACGGGACAGAGGUUCAGGGUCGAAGGGGUAGAGGAAGACCUAGGAAAACUUUGGAAGAGACCCUAAGAAAAGACUUAGAGUACUUGGAUCUAACGGAGGACAUGACACAAAACCGAGCGCAAUGACGUUCUAGGAUUCAUAUAGCCGACCCCACUUAGUGGAAAAAGGCUUUGUUGUUGUUGUUGUUGGUUCUUUGCCAAAAUCAAAACUGAACCAAAGUUUCGGUUCGGUUCGGUUCAAUUUUCUUUUGAUUUUUUUUUGUUUGGUUUUGUUCGGUUCGGUUUCAGUAUGGUUUUGGCUUUUUUAUUUUAUUUUAUAAAACUUGAUCAUUUUUUAAUAUGGAAUUUAGAAAAGAGGCUUGCAUUGGUAGACUAUUGAUAAGAAAAUGGGCAAAGUGGGAAGGUAGUUAUACAUAUACAAGAUUAUAUAAACCAAUAUUUUUUAUCAACAACCUCAAUUGCAAAGAAAAAUGAUCACCGCCAUAUACAUUUAAAAAACAAACAAAUAGAGAAGCUCUUCCAAGUUCCAAAGCCUUCCAAAAAUUUCCCUUAUAACCAAUGGAAUAGCCUUCCUAAUUGAACCAAAUAUGCUCCUUGAAAAUGUCCUAGGCUGAGUUUCAAACUUGGCAACAAAGUUUCACAAAAGAAACAUCAUGGCAUACAUUUAUAAAGUGUAGAGGGAUUCGGUUUGGUUCGGUUUUUCCUCUUUCGGUUUGGUUUUUUUUCGGUUUUUGGUUUUUCGGUUUAGGUUCAGUGUUCGGUCCCUUUUUUUUCAGUUUUCGAUUUUUUGAAUCCACCCUAAUCAAAACUCUCUGCCAAGAGUACGACGUUAUCUUACAUUAAAAUAGCUGCAGUGGCAUGUUUUGACUAGCAAGUUUGCAGGUUAUGAGUUUGUAUGCUUCUUCUGCUGUAGCUGCGGCUGCCAUCCCUCAUCUACGAAAGUAUGAUGUAUUUCUUAGUUUCAAAGGUGAGGAUACCCGUUAUACUUAUACUAGCCAUCUUCAUACUGCUUUACGUGGGGAUAAAAUCGAAACCUACAUAAGUGACAGGCUUGAGACGGGAGAUGAAAUUUCACCUGCCCUUUUGGAAGCAAUUGAAAAGCCAAAGCUUUCAGUAAACAUUUUCUCAAAAGACUAUGCUUCUUCCAAAUUGUGUUUGGCUGAAUUUGUCCACAUACUACUAUGCAAGAAAAAUGUGGACAUUUUGUAUUCGAAAGUCUGGUCGACAUCUUUACGAAGACCUACUCGGUGUAACAUGACGUCUUCAAAUGUCGUGGGGCCAUAUUUAGUAUGACCACCCAAUCCAAGGAUAAAAGUUUCAGAGCUUACUUGAAGUAGUUCCGUGCAGAGUUGAAUAAGCAGUUGAAUAAGAAAAAGUAUGACUACACCACCCUGGUGGAAUGCUUUGAUGUAGCGGAUGACCUCACUGAUUGGGAUGACAAGACUCAGAAGAAAAUUUCCAAUCAGGACCAUACCAAGAGUUCUGAUAGGAAGUGAGAUGACCGUGAUACCCCUCCUUCUUCCCCUGUCGGAAUGACAGGGGAGGACACAAAGACAAACAAGCUUUGUUUAAACCAACGAAGUACACAACCUUGAACACCACCAUGAAUAACAUCUUCCAUAACAUCAAGGAUAAGCCUUACCUCAAGCGGCUGAAGCCUCUCCCUAACCAUCUGGCGAAGAAAAAGCCAAAUGAGUACUGCUCCUUCCACCAGUGUAACGACCACACUACUUGGAGCUGCCACAUGCUGAGAGCUAACAUUGAAGAACUACUUAAUCAGGGGAAUUGCUGGGAGUUCGUCAAAAGCAAAGCCAUAAAGGAGAAACCUGCUGAAAAGGAAAGACCUAGGCAAAUCCGGACGACAAGAGCUCACUGAUGAUGAGGAAGACCGGUGCCCGGCAAAGAAGCCUACCCUCAGCAUUAAUUGCAUCUAUGAGCCAAAAAGCAAGAAAGUUAGGAAUCUUGAACCAAGGAAUGGGACUCUAAUCACCUUAAGGUGGAACGUCCUCAAGUAUUGCUGACAACACUAAAGACCCUAAUCUGAACAACAAGUGGUUUGAUGCUUCGAUUAUAUGAGGAGAUAUGUAGGCCGUCCAUUUUGGAUCCAACCAUUAUAUUCAACGCGGUUGUCCAUGCAAAGACAAGUCCAUGGAGAACUCAUCUCUUUAACUCCCCCACAAUAAGCUAUUCGUCAAAGAUGAUCCCUGAUGUAAACACACGUUAUAUCGUCUUUUAGUAGAUCUACAUCCGUGAUCUGGUUCUCCUUCCUAGAGAUAUUUAGGCAAUCCGAUUGGGAUUCAAUCGCACCCUUAUCAAACCCUAUUCUUUUAUUAAUAAAAUUUAAAUGUGAUUAUUUUGCAACUUUUGUCUUUUUUUUUUCUUUUUUUGCGGUACAGAGAAUCCUUAAUAUCCUAAACAACACACGGCUUUGAAACUUCACAUAGUUGUAAGUCUAACAAUUCAAAUUGAUAGUGUCAGAUGAAUAUUCUAUUGCCAUUUGUUCUAGUUAGCAGCUUAGGAGGUUUGAACCAUAUUUAGCCCGGCUAGGAUAGGCGGACUACUGACAUGGGGACAAGGCUCCCUAAUUCAGAAAUCCAGCUCACCUCUGGCUUUUGGAAAGAUUAUACAGCCUAAAGAAUUAUGGAUUGUAACAUUAAAACCUGAGCUCUGCGCCAUCUGAGUGGUGGCUCCAAACUUCGACCACGAGUAUGAUUACUUCUAUCCCAGAUCAGCGUACUAAAUGAAGUAUGUUCUGCGACACCAUGUGUCCAAUGAAGGUCCAAAGAGGCAUCCAAACUAGGAAAUCCUCAAGAAGAAUUUUAUUAGAGUGAAACUCCGAUAAGCAGAAGUGCCUUGGCCAAGCCAACUAAGUGUAGUCUGGUCAGAAAUGCUCAGGUCCGUAAUGAAUUUUCAUUUAAUCUUUAUUAGGGAAGAACAUACAAUUUGAAGUGGGAAGGAAGCCCGUUCUUGGUACCACGCUGCGACUAUUAAAAUCCUUAUACCUAGAAUCGGGUAAGGUAAAUGAACAAAUGGGCAUAAGGUUAUGAUUAAAAGAAGAACUCUAAUAUGACACCAAGAACUAAAGACCAAUCUAGGUAUAACUCGACACUUUCUCAUCCUUAAUUCGAUCAAUGCAUUAAGGCAAGUUCGGAGCAAAAGCUUUUCAUGGGCCUGAUAUUUGGUGUCAGAGUAAAGUGGUACUCCGACUAUCGCAGUUAAAAUGUUCAUAAACACUAAGUUUAAGAGGUAAUGUAUUUCUGAAGAUGCAAACAAGACCUCGGUUUAAUCCAAUAUAGCUUUCUAGCGAUAGCAAUGCUAGAGAUGGAUUUAUGUUGGAUUGUAUUGGGAAGAACAAUGGAAAUUCAAAAAAAGAGCUGAACUAGACCAAUGAGACCAACCCAAGCAGCUACUCGCAUCCUAGCCGCCUCACCUGCUUUAGCGCCAAGCGACUCCCCUACGCGCUCCAGAGAGCACCGCAAGCAACCAUGGGCCAGGCCUAUUGGCGUAGCCUCGUUCCAACCCAGUAUAAGUUUCGACAUCAGCUCUAGUGGAGGCCAACGGCACCUUGUGAUGUUGCCCCGUUAAGCGUGAUGAAAACAAGGAAGGGAAGAAGAAGAAAGUAACAAUUUCAUACCUAGGAUUUUUCUCUAUGCGAGUCAUGAAUUUUAAAAAUAAGGAAUUUGUGAAAAUUCAAGCAAGGUUAUCCUAUUUAUACUAAAUCCUUAUGGUAAAGAAAAAGGAAAACUUUUUCUUACUAAGACUUGAAGAUCUACCUUGUCUUGGAAGAAAAUUCUAUGCAAAUAGGAAGUACAUCUCAUUUUGUUUCCUAUUUAACACAAACUGAUGUGGGGGCAUUUGUGGAGACAUAAAUUAACCACAUCCAAUAGGAAAAGGAUACGUGGACAAGACUCAGAAGAAAAUUUCAGAGCUAACAUUGAAGAACUACUUAAUCAGGGGCAUUGCUGGCUAAGAAAAAGCCAAAUGAGUACUGCUCCUUCCACUAGUGCAUCGACCACACAUGCUAUUGGCCUCCACAAGAGCUGAUGUCGCAACUUAUACUGAGUUGGAAUGAGGUUAGGCCAAUAGGCCUGGGCCAUCGUUGCUUGCGGUGCUCUCUAGAGUGCGCAGGGGAGUCGCUUGGCUUUAAAGCAAAUGAGGCGGCUAGGAUGCGGGUAGCUGAUUAGGUUGGUUUAAUUGGGCUAGUUCAGCUACAAUUUUUUUUCUUUCUUUUUUUGAAUUUCCACUGCUUUUCCCAAUACAAUCCAACAUCAAUCCAUCUCUAGCAUUGCUAUCGCCAGAAAGCUUUAUUGGAUUAAACUGAAGUCUUGUUUGCAUCAGCAGAAAGACAUUACCUCUAGUGUUAUGAACAUAUUAAUUGCGAUAGUUGGAGUACCACCUUACUUUGACACCGGAUAUCAAACCCAUGAAAAGCUUUUGCUUUGAACUUGCCUUAAUGCAUUGAUUAGAUUAAGGAUGAGAAAGUGUCGAGUUGUAUCUAGAAUGGUCUCUAGUUCUUGGUGUCAUACUAGAGUUCUUUUUUUAAUCAUAACCCAUUUGUUCGUUCACCUUGCCCCAUUUCGAGUAUAAGGAUUUUAAUAGUCGGAAAGUGCUACCAAGAAGGGACAUCCUUCCCACUUCAAAUUGCAUGUUCUUCCCUAAAAAAUAUUAAAUGAAAAUUCAUUAGGGACCUGGUUGCUUGCAUACAGGUUGGAAAACACCUUUGGAAUCCUUUUGUCAGGAUUUAUGUGUUGGACCUGAGCAUUUAUGACCAGACUACACUUAAUUGGCUUGGCCAAGGCACUUCCGCUUAUUGGAGUUUCACACUAAUAAAAUUCUUCUUGAGGACUUCCUAUGCCUCUUUCGGACCUGCAUUAGACACAUGGAGUUGCAUAACAUACUUGAUUUAAUACGCUGAUUUGGGAUAAAAGUAAUCAUACUUGUGGUCGGAGUUUAGAGCCACCACUCGGAUGGCGCAGAGCCCAGGUUUUAAUGUUACAAUCCACAAUUCUUUAGGUUGUAUAAUAUUUCCAGAGGCUAGAUGGUGAGCUGGACUUUUGAAUCAGGGAUCCUUGUCCCCAUGUUAGUAGUCCUCCUAUUCUAACCGGGCUAAAUAUGGUUCGAACCUACUAAGCUACUAACUGGAACACCACAAAAUGGCAAUAGAAGACUCAUUUGACACUAUCGAUUUGAAUUUUUAGACUUACAAUUAUGUGAAGUUUUAAAGUCGUGUGUUAUUUAGGAUGUUAGGGAUUCUCUGUACAACAAAAAAAAGGAAAAAAAAAAAGAAGACAAAAGUUGCACAAUAAUCACAUUUAAAUUUUAUUAAUAAAAGAAUAGGAUUCGAUAGAGGUGUGAUUGAAUCCCAAUCGGACUGCCUACAUAUUUAUAGGAAGGGGAACCAAAUCAUGGGUGUAGAUCUAGUAAAAGAUGAUAUAACGUGUGUUUACAUUAGGGAUCAUCUUUGACGAAUAGCUUAUUGUGGGGAGUUAAGGAGAUGAGUUCUCCAUGGACUUGUCUUUGCGUGGACAGUGGUGUUGAAUAUAAUGGUUGAAUCCAAAAUGGACGGCCUACAUAUCUCCUCAUAUAAUCGAAGCAUCAAACCACUUAAAGUUUAGAUUAGGGUCUUUAGUGUUGUCAGCGAUACUUGAGGACGUUCCACCUUAAGGUGAUUAGAGUCCCCUUCCUUGGUUCAAGAUUCCCAACUUUCUUGCUUUCUGGCUCAUAGAUGCAAUUAAUGCUAAGGCUAGGCUUCUUUGCCGGGCAUCGAUCUUCCUCAUCAUCAAUGAGCUCUUGUCAUCCAGAUUUGCCUUGGUCUUUCCUCUCAGCGGGUUUCUCCUUCCUGGCUUUGCUUUUGACGAACUCCCAGCAAUGCCCCUGAUUAAGUAGUUCUUCAAUGUUAGCUCUCAGCGUGUGGCAACUCCACCUUGUGCUGCUGCCCUGUUAAGUGUGAUGAAAUCGAGGAAGGAAAAAGAAGAAAGUAACAAUUUCAUACCUAGGAUUUUUCUCUGUGCGAGUCAGGAAUUUUAAAAGUAAGGAAUUUGUGAAAAUUCAAGCAAGGUUAUCCUAUUUAUACUAAAUCCUUGUGGUAAAGAAAAAGGAAAACUUUUUCUUACUAAGACCUGAAGAUCUACCUUGUCUUGGAAGAAAAUUCUAUGCAAAUAGGAAGUACAUAUCAUUUUGUUUCCUAUUUAAACACAACUUGAUGUGGGGGCAUAUGUGGAGACAUAAAUUAACCACAUCUAAUAAGAAAAUGAUAUGUGGACUAGGCGCUCACCAUGACGGUUCUACCCUUAACGUCGUGAGCAGGCAAUAGAUUACAUCAAGAGAGUUUGAGACUUGUCUGCCCUGUGGGUAAUAGGCCUUUGAGCCACUAACAUAUCAAAGGCGAUUUGGGUGCAUGAUAUGUCUUGCCACCAGGCCACACUCGGGCCUAAUGGUGUCAGGAAGCAGACUCUCUAGAGUCUUCUUUUGGGUGUCUGGCGCGCCUACGCUCUUACCGACAUGAAACUCAAGACUACUAGCUGGCAGGACUAUGAAAACUGAAUUGUACCUUCAAAGACUGCCUAGAAUGGUCUGCAACUUCCCUUCACAAUUGCCUGCUAGGGUUAAGUUCUUUAUAAACAGCCAAGUCAAACACAAGGAAACGACAAUCGUCAUUUAAUCCUCAUAACCUUCUCAAGUUCUUAAUUUCUCUCAAACUAUUAUGACUUAUGCAUAAAGGUCAUUUGUCGGAUCUUUUUCUCUAGAUGUUCAUCAAUGAGGCUAAUGAUGUUUAUUCUUUUGUAGGUGAAAUUUUGUCAAAUCGGUCAUGGACCCAUAUACAAAUUUUGCAUCCACACUUACCACGUCUUUCAUGCCACACUUAUACGUACCAUCUCUCUAAUACAGAUGUGACUCAUAUGCUUGGUGAGCCUUACCUCUAUUAGAAAUAUAGUAAAAGUGAUAUGAACAUGUAUUUUCACAAUACUUGGGUACUAACUGAUCAGUACUCAUUUUACUCAUGAAGUGGCCCAAUAAAACGAAGAAAAAUGUACUUUUAAACACUCAUUAUUCUGGUAGCCACACCCCUUUAAUCUCCUAACCAAACACCAAUAUUAUCUCUGAUCCACCAACAACUGAAGAAAAUUAAAACCAACAGAAAACUCAAUGGACUGAUCCAUCAUAGAUAUUAAUUUAAUCCUCACCAUAAUUUAUAUCUUGUACAAACACAUAGUUUGAUUCCUAUGCAAAACAUAAUAGGCAAUACCACAAUUGACAAAGGAGAAGAAUGAUGAAAGCUAUAAAAUAAAAAUAAAAAAUCCCAAAUUAUUGACCAUGGACAACUUGAGCAGCGGUGUCACAGCCCGUCUCGGAGAAGUAUAUUAUUUAAUUAUCGACGAUGUGAAAUUACCUAAAUACCCUUGGACGUUGAGAAUUAUAUUGGAGUGUUGUGGUUUUGACUUAAGGUUGUGGACCUAUUAGUUAUAUUCCUCUAUUAUUGGACCCAAUUAGAACUAAGUGUUCUCUUAGUUUUGAUUGGUGGCUUUUGGACCACACACACACCCACCUACCCUCUCUCUCCUCUCGUUCCCGUGCUCUCUCUCUCUCUCUCUCUCUCUCAGAUUCACUCUCUCUCUUCUCUCUUGUACGGACACAACCAGAAACCCUUGCAAACGUGACAGAUCGAAGAAGAAAAUGGUACCAUUGUGUUCCUAAGGUCCUCACGAGUUUAAAGGUACCAAAUAUAGGUAAGAUUACCUUCGAUUUCACGUCGAACCACAAAAACCGAUUUGAGGUACUAUUCAUGCUCACGUAAAAACUUAUGUUUUAGGGAAAUUUAAACUCAUAGGGAGCUUAAGGAGGUCCUUACGAAGCUCGGAGUAUUUCGUUUGAAGAAAUUGGAUGUCGGAAUCAUGAGAACGAAGAGUUUUAAAUUUGGCCGGAAUUAUCGAGGCUUUUUUCCGACGAAUUUCUGACGAGUUGGAGGUCGGGGCAGGUAUGGUUUUGUUUGUCUUGUUGAGAUCUUUAAAAUGGUACAAAUUUCAUAGAAAAUGGUGCAAAAAUGAAGAAGUUAUGAAGGUUUUUCGAUUUCCCAGUUUUCCGGCAACGGCGAGGAGUCCGGCGAGCAAUCGGAGAAGACGAGUGAAUAUUCCGUCAGAGUUGACGGAAUAUUCUGACGCCGUCAGGUAAACUUAACUGAAUCCAUUAGCUUUUAACAAAAUAUUCCACAGAAUAUUCCUAACGGGGUUAGAGAAUCUGUCAGGAUUCCUUGCGCGUGGCCGCGAGUAUUGCCGUGCACUCGCCGGCGCGUGGCGAUGCGUGCGGGGUCAGAAAAUUAUUUUACAAAUUCCUGGGUGAUCGUGACAUUGUGUAGGUCACUGUGGUAUAUUCAUAUACCCAAUUUGAGCUAUGUAUGAGAAGUUAUUACAUAGUUUGAUAUAUGUGCAUUAAAGUGACGUUUAUAUAGUUGCUUUUCCUAUAGGCGAGACCUAUCCGGAGGACGAGCGUAGCCAGGCUAGGCAUGGGGGUUACGACCCGGCUUCAUAUCUAUGAGUGGGCAGUUAUUUUCAGUCUAUAUAUAUAUACUUGACGUUUUUCCCAGAAAACGUAUUUAAGGAAAUGUGAUUUAAAUGUUAUGCUAUGCCUAUAUUUUAUUUUAGUAUAUGCAUUAUCAUAAUUUUGCAUAUUGUUGCAUGGUGCUGUGGAGGCUCAGGUAAAUUCAGGUAAGUUAUGUUUGGUUAUGUGAAUCAUCGAUGAUGUGAUAUGUGAUUGAAUACUGUUGAGCUCAUAAAACUGCACCUAGGGUGAUUGUGAUUUAGCCAGAGAUAUGAAGUACAUGCCUGUUUAUUAUGUCACCUCCCGCACCAUAUGCUCAUAUUAGAUCCAAUUUAGGUGCACAGUCUUGUCGUACAGACCUUAUUUAUGGUUCCGACUCGUAGGUGACUAGCGAUUUAUCGCCCGGCUAUUAUGUGAGAGUAGUAUUGGGCAUAAUUAUAUUACACCCAUGAUCGUCGUACAGACCUUUGCAUUUGGUUCCGACUCUUGUGCAGUAUAUUGCCGUAUAGGUCAUUGUAGUGACUCUGGUUAGAUUGACUUUUGAGCUAUGAAUUCAGCUGUACAGACUACCAUAGGGGUUCUGGCUAACAUGUUAUAUUUCUAUGAAACUAUUCUUACCUGAAUUGCUUAUUCUGUUAUAUAUAGGCAUGGCAUACAUACAAAUAUGAAUCUUGAUUUUGAGCAUGAUUUGAGAUAUAUACAUAUUUAUAUAUUCUAUUUUCUAGGAAAGUAUCUAUAUACUUGUUUUACGGCGAGGGGUUAGUAUAUUCAAAGGAAAAUAAGGUUUUUGUGUAAAUGUGUUUUGCUGACCCACUCAACUAUGUUUUUCUCCCCUCCAGGUUUUAGGUAGCAGAGUUUGGUGGCCACGAGGAAUCCAACGGUGCUAUGACAGAAUCCGAAAAGUAGGAUUCACCUUAGGGUGUUGUUGUAUCUUAGUAAUUGUCCUGCUUGACUGCGACUAGAUCUUCUUAUUGCUCUGAAAGUGAAUCUUGAUUUUGCGCACAAGGCUACGUCACGCUCACGUGACGGCCAACACGUCUUGACUUUGGUCAGGUGUGUCAAGCGGAAUGGAGAAGUCAUUGAUGGUGGCUUGCUUCGACGAAGAAGAGAGAUUGAGGGUGAUAUCUGCAGUGUUUGUUGCUAGAAUUGUAUAUAUGUUGGUGUUUGGCUAGAGAGUUAAGAAUGACAAGUUGUAAUUUUAUUGGGCAUCAUAGUCUGGUGAGUAAAAUGUAGUAAGUAUAACAUUACUAAAAAACUAUAACUAAAUGUAGUAGAUAUGUCACGCCCCGGACCCGGGGUCGGUAAUAAAAAAAAUAAAAUACUCAAACUCGAAUUCGAAACAUGAGUUAAAAGCUUAAUAAAUAACCGGAAAUUGAAACGGGUUGGAAAAUAAACUCCUCUUAUUAAAUAGCUCCAAAAUCCUUGCAGGGUGUACAAAAGUAAUAAAUUAAAAUCCUUAAAUUUCUCCUCAAUCACAGCCUCAGCUCUUCUAACACGUCUUGCCAAAUAACUCAUCUGUAAAAUAAUAGGUGAGGGGUGAGCAACAACCACCGUCGCUCAGUGAGUAGAAUAUGUAAUAUGCCAGUCAAGCUUGCCACUUUAAUCACACUAUAAAAUAGGAUAAUAAAAUCAAAGCUUUAGCCACGUAAUUCCAUAUCACAUCGUCCCUUCACAUGUUGAUCAUCUUCUAUCUUCUAUAUAUAUAAAGUGAGAAGCACACAAUGGUGAAGCAUUCUGAAAUGUCAAAAAUGUCCUCAUUUCAUACGUAAGGCUAUUGGAUAACUGCUCAUAAAAAUAGAGUUAAAAACGUAAAAAUAUGGAAUUACAUCUCAAUAAUGAUUCCGACCAUUGGAUCAAAUCACCCACACUUUAAAUUAAUUUUCACCCAUUAGAUUAAGCAUACAGUUACUGCUCCAGAUUAAAAAAAAGGAUAAUCGACCACAACUACUCCAGAUGGAAUCGAAGCACUCCAUAUCAGCAGUUGCAUAGAUUGGAGAUGGAACCGACCUCCAUCGCACGUUCUCGAUCACCACAGUGCAUACAAAAGAGUAAAUUGGGUAAUUUUCUCGAACAAUAUUCUUAUCUAUGCCAAAAUUUUGAAAUGGGUUUUCGCCAGAAAUUUUCACUUUCUGCUUCAAUUCAGGUACUCUGUGCCUAAUUGAAUUGUUCAUAUCUACUAAUGUUUUGAUUUAUUAACUAAUUGCCCACUUUAAUAUAUACUAAUUUGGAGAUUUUUACUUGAUUAUAAUUUGAACUAUUUGAAAUUAUUUAUCUUUACCAGAUUUUGUUAAUGGGUUUUGGACCAAUUUGUAGAAAGCUCUCUCUUUUGUGUAUUGGUUAUUCAGUUUCUGGCUUAAUUUUUGCCAUUCUGGAAUGCCAUGUUGGAAGUUCAAAUCAAAUACAGUAGCCGAAACUAAUGGAACACUUUUCAGAAAUUGUUGGAACACUUUUCAGAAAGUGGUGAAACUAUUUUUAGAAAAGCUACAUGUGUGUGUGCAUCAAAAGGUGGUGCAUGUGUGAAAGGGUGUAAAGAUGGUAAACACCAUCAUUGAUUGCAUGUGUGUGCAUUUGUUUUUAUUAAAAAACACUUGAGUGGUUUGUAACUUUUGCAUGUAUAAUUAAGCCUCUUGUAAGGCUUUAGAAAAAUCCAUCCGAAUUCCCAUUUCCAUUUUAGCUUGUAAGCAAUUGAGUUUGUAAACUCUUAUUAAAUAUAUCAAAGUGUUUGCUUGUUUUCCGUGCAGUUUGUCCAACACAAAAAGUUUGCUUCUUCAUUUAUUUUUUUCUUUGUUUAAUUGUAUUGAGAGUGAUAGUGAGAUGUAUGAUAAAGUUAGAAAACUUAUCACCCAAAUAUUUUUGGUAUUGAGUUAGUCAACUUUGAAAUACCAACAAUUGGUAUCAGAGCCAGAUUACCGUUCUGGCAAGUGCAGUAGCUAUGGCAUCUAACUUAGUGCAGCUCCAGGUUCCAACAUUGAAGAAAGAAAAUUAUGAAAGAUGGUGCAUCUAGUUCAAAACAUUGUUUGGAUCACAGGACCUAUGGGAAGUUGUCAGUAAUGGGUAUGAUGAACCCACUACUGAGCAAGAAGCUGCCUACACUGCAGAUCAAAGGAAUACUCUCAAGGACUUACGAAAGAAUGACAAGAAGGUGAUGUACCUUCUAUAUCAAGGAUUAGAAGAUUCAACGUUCGAGAAGAUUGCAGAAGCAACAACCAGCAAGCAAGUUUGGUACACUUUGAGCACAAUUUACCAAGGAGUAGAUCGAGUAAAAAGAGUUCGGCUUCAAUCAUUAAGAGCAGAUUUUGAGGCUGCUCAUAUGAAAGAAGGAGAAAACAUUUCAGACUACUACUCUCGACUACUUGUAAUUGUGAAUCAAAUGAAAAGGAAUGGCGAGAAGCUUGACGAUGUUCGUGUCAUGGAGAAAAUCCUUCGGUCACUCACAUCCAACUUUGAGCUUGUGGUGACUGCCAUUGAGGAAUCCAAGAAUUUGGAGACGAUGAGUGCAGAGGAACUGCUAGGAUCCCUCCUAGUUCAUGAACAACGCAUUCAGAAGAAUGCAAGCCCCACAACGCUAGAGCAAGCUUUGGAGUCAAAGUUGAAUAUUGACAAACCAAAUGGAGGUCGUGGACAGUGGAAUUCACGUCAUGGAAGCUCAUCCAAUCAUAGCCGAGGACGAGGCCGAGGAAGAGGUUGAGGCUAUGCACAAAACCGAGGUCAAUCUCAAUAGUGGAGAUCUACUUGAGGAAAGGCGCAUAUCCAGUGUCACAGUUGCAAGCAAUAUGGACAUUAUGCCAAUGAAUGUUCAUAUAAAAAUGGUGAGCAUGUCAACAUGGCAGAAUCAAGUGGAAAUGCUGGUGAGGAAUUUACAGUCUUACUAGCACACCAUGAUAUCAGUAGCCAACAAGAUGUUUGGUAUUUGGACUCUGGUGCAAGCAACCACAUGUAUGGAAAGAAAGAGUUUUUUGCUGAACUCAAAGAUGGGCCUUAUGGAUCUAUAAGUCUUGGUGACUCCCCAAAGUUGCCAGUUGAAGGCAAAGGAAAGAUCAAAAUCAUCUAGAAGGAUGGUAGAGAAGAAUACAUCUCUGAUACCUACUACAUACCAUGUAUGAAAAGCAACAUUCUGAGCAUUGGUCAAUUGUUCCAGAAAGGGUAUGUUAUACAUAUGGAGAAUAUGCUUCUCACUCUCAGGAAUGCAAGGAGAAAGCUUAUUGCAAGUGUUCAAAUGUCAAAGAACUGAAUGUUCCCGUUGAAGUUGAACACAAAGAUUGGAAGCUGCAACAUUGGUGUGAUAGAAGAUGAGUCAUGGAAAUGGCAUCUUCGGUUUGGCCAUCUUCAUUUCAAUGGCCUAAAGUUAUUGUCAAGUGGAGAAAUGGUUCGUGGUCUACCCCAGAUUGAAGCCACACACCAAGUAUGUGAAGGUUGUGUGCUUGGCAAACAAGCACGAUCAUCGUUCCCUGUUGGUGAUAUAUGGAGAGCAAAGGCACCACUGCAGUUAAUGCACACGGAUAUAUGUGGUCCGUUGGAUCCUAUGUCCUAUGGAGGUAAUAGGUAUUUUAUUACCUUCAUUGAUGAUUUUAGUAGGAAGACUUGGGUUUAUUUUCUCAAGGAGAAGUCGGCUACCCUAAGAAUCUUCAAUGAGUUUAAGGCACUCACAGAAGCUGAAAGCAACCACAAGCUUGUGGCUGUGAGAUCAGAUAGAGGUGGAGAGUACACCUCAAAUGCUUUCCAAGCAUAUUACAAGGAGUAAGGAAUUAGGCAUCAACUGAUUGCUGCCUAUACCCCACAACAAAAUGGGAUAGCCGAAAGAAAGAAUCAAACCAUCCUUGACAUAACAAGGUCUAUGCUUAAAGAGAAGAAUUUGCCAAAAGAAUUGUGGGUAGAAGCUGUAGCUUAUUCGAUUUAUUUGUUGAAUCGAUGUCCAACAAAGAGUGUCAAGAGGAUGACACCACAAGAGGCUUGGAGUGGAUACAAGCCGAAUGUUGCACACUGCAUAUGCUCAAGUUCAAGAAGCCAAGAGGAGGAAACUCGAUGAUAGAGGUGAGAAGUGUGUGUUCGUGGGCUAUAGUGGAAAGUCCAAGGCAUAUAAGCUUUACAACCCACUAACUGGAAAAUUAGUGGUUAGUAGAGAUGUCAUCUUCAGUGAGGAAGAGGCAUAGAAGUGGAACAACAAAGAAGUUAGUAAAGAGAAGAUUGUUUCCACUGAUUUUGAAGAACCAGAAGUUGUACCACUUAUUAAGCAACAACCUGCUCAAUCAAUCACAACAACUCCAUUGCACAGAAUUGCAAGGAGUGGUCAUACUUCCAGUGAAGAAAGCAGCUCCUCAACUCCAGUGAGGCUAAGAAGUCUCAUUGAGAUAUAUGGACAAGAAAGAGAAGAAGAAACCAACCUUUUCUACUUGUAUGCAGACCAUGAGCCUCUCUCAUUCAAUGAAGUUAUGGAAGAAGAUCGUUGGAGAAUAGCCAUGGAGGAAGAAAUCCAUGCCAUCGAGAAGAAUCACACUUGGGAGUUAACAAAGCUCCCACCAAAUCAGAAGGCUAUUGGUGUCAAGUGGGUCUAUAAGAUCAAACGCACUGCAAAUGGGAGUGUGGAUCGAUACAAAUCAAGGCUUGUAGCGAAGGGCUACAAACAGAAGUAUGGAAUGGACUAUGAUGAAGUCUAUGCUCCAGUUGCAAGACUUGACAUGGUAAGAUUGCUAAUCUCUCUUGCCGCUCAUCAUAAAUGGAAAAUUUAUCAACUAGAUGUCAAGUCAGCCUUCUUAAUGGAGUACUUGAGGAAGAAGUGUACGUGGAACAACCAAAAGGAUUCCAAGUACAAGGAGAAGAAGAAAAGGUGUAUCGUUUGAAGAAGGCUUUGUAUGGCCCCAAGCAAGCACCACGAGCUUGGAACUCAAGGAUUGAUAACUACCUUCACCAAAAUGGAUUUCAGAAAUGUCCAUACGAGCAUUCAGUUUACAUGAAGAAUGGUACAAAAGGGGAGUUCUUAAUUAUUUGUCUCUAUGUAGAUGACUUGUUGUUUACAGGAAACAAUGAAGCAAUGUUCCAUGAGUUCAAGCAAUCCAUGUUCAGUGAAUUUGAGAUGACUGACAAUGGAUUAAUGUCAUACUUUCUUGGCAUAGAGGUGAAACAAGAAAGUGAUGGUAUCUACAUCUCUCAACAAAAGUACAUAAGAGAUAUAUUGGAGAAAUUCAAUAUGGACAAGUGCAAUAUUGUCAACACUCUAGUUGCAAUUGGAUUGAAGCUGUCCAAGGAAGGAGAAGGUGAGUUUGUAAACUCAACCGUGUACAAAAGAUUGGUUGGAAGCCUAAGGUACCUUACAAUCAUAAGACCUGAUAUAGUUUAUGGCGUUGGACUCGUGAGUCGGUACAUAGAAACACCAAGGAAGUCUCAUUGGCUGGCCGCCAAGAGAAUUUUGAGGUACAUAAGAGGUACUCUAAACUAUGGUCUGUUUUAUAAUUUUGGUGAAGAUGCAAAAUUAUUUGGUUAUUCAGAUAGUGAUUAGGAAGGUGACCAAGAUGAAAGGAAAAGCACAACUGGUUAUGUGUUUUUUCUAGGAUCAACAACUUUCUCAUGGACUUCAAAGAAGCAAUCAAUUAUUGCUUUGUCAUCGUGUGAAGCCGAAUAUGCUGCUAUAGCCUCAACUGUGUGUGAGGCAAUUUGGUUAAGAAAUCUGUUGAAGUCAGUGUGUCAUCCACAAGUGGAAUCGACUGUGAUUCAUGUGGAUAACAUCUCAGCUAUCAAGCUUGCUAGGAAUCCAGUCCAACAUGGAAGGAGCAAGCAUAUUGAUACCAGGUUCAAUUUUCUGAGGGACCAUCUGAAGCAAAAGACAAUUGAACUUGUCUAUUGUCACAUGAAGGAACAAGUAGUUGAUGUGGAUGCAAAUUUUCUCCUCUUCGAUCUUGGACGAUUUUGCACCUACAAAACAACUAGCACCUUAGGUUAAGGCCAAAAGCCUCACGCGCCCACGAUGAAUGGGGGGGGGCUUUGGCCGAAGAACCUCCGAUGCCAAAGUUAGAAUUUUAGAGAGAAAUAGUGUUUAGAGUGUUUUGGAAUUUUUGCAAGAGAUUUGGAAUGAGUGUUUGGUAAAAAUGGGUGACUAUUUAUAGGACCAAAUUGGUCCACAUCUUCAAGAAAUGGCCGGCCCUUUCUUUGUGCUUUGGGAUGAAUUUGUGGUUUUAUUAGCCACUUUAUUGGCUAAUAAAAUAUAAUAGAAAUAAAUGGGAAGUUACCCAAUUGAAUGACUAGCAUUAUUUGGCUAAUAAAGUGGAAGAAAUUUGAAAAGGUGUGGAGCAAAGAGAGGGAAUGUGGCCGGUCUACUAGGUGGGAUUUUAGGGUUUAUUUUAGGUUUAAUUAGCCAAUUAAUUGGCUAAUUAAAUAUGAAAGGAAAUGUUUUAGUAUUUAUGGUAUUGAUUGGCUAAUUUAAAAGGGAAGGAAAGGUGGAAAAGGUAGAAAAAGGUGAUGGAAUAGGCUUUGAAUGGGGUAGCCGGCCCUAUAUAUCAUUUUUUAGGUUUGAGUGGAUGUUUCAAAUUGAUAAUUAAGGGAUGAUUUUAGGAGAUAUGGGAAGAAUAUAUUAUUUAGAUAAUUAAUUAACUAAAUAAUAUAUUAGGGAAAUUAAGUUUUGGAAAUAAUUACCUAAAAUAAGAUAAUUUGGAAUUGGUUACCUCUUUUGGAGCAUUUUUGAAUUGGUUGAGGAUGAUUACCCACUACUUGCGCGUAGGAAUCCCGGUAUGCCUCAAGGGUAUUUUUGUCCUCUUUCAUUCAAAAGUCCACGUGUCGCCUAGCGAAUAUUUUUGGCUCCACAAAUGCCCCCACACCUGUUGGGCUGCUUGCAAAAAAGGGCAACAGGUGUAGAGAUUUUCUCACUUUAGGCAACUCUGAAUUGAUUUCUAUUUUGUUGUUGAUUCUCUCUUUAAAUGGAAAUUAGAUCCUUCUAGGAAAGGGAAAUAAAUUUCUCUCAAAGCCUAUUUAAGUCCACCUUAAGUGGGUUAUUAAAUCAACUUUGGAGAGCGAUUUAUUCUACCCUACAGGAGAGAGAUAGCUUAGAGGAUAUUUGUUCCCCCUCCUCUAGCAAUCUUCUACAUCUUGCCCGUGCAAAGGACCGUAUUUCGUUGCUUUCUUCGUCUUCUUCGUGCCGCACCAAUGUAAGAAAAAUUUAAUUUUUCUUGCCUUAUUCUUGGAUAGUGCUAUUGCGGGGUGGUGCGGCACGUCGGCUGGCAGGGGCCAGAAGCUGGCUCGGCAUGAGCUGAGGAGAUAUCGUGGCAGGGACCACUGCUUGGGCAGCUUGGCUUGGCCUGAGCCAAGGGCAGCUUGUGCAGCUGGGGUCGAGGAUUGUGGCGCUAGGGCACAGUGUUAGGCGAGCUGCAUAGCUCAUGUCCUUUGGGCUCUUGGACCUGACUCGGGCCAGGCUGACGAUUGAGAGAAAUAAGGAGAUUGCGGGUCUCAUGGGCUGCUGGAAUGUUGGGCAUGUAUGCCUUCUGCCUGCUGGAAUGCUGGGUUGAGCUCCCCUGCUGAGUACCAUGAAUGUCGUUGGCUACUUAGUCUUCUUUGCUGAAAGAAAGGUGGGCUGCUCCAGAAAGAUGAGGUAAAGAGGAUCAAGGCGGAUGCACUGGCUCGUCUGAUCGCUGUCGUGGAGCUUACUAUGAAUGAAGAUGGAAAGAAGAGAUCUUCCCCGCCUGCUCAUGAGAUGCCUAGUUAAUAAAAAACUGAAGACUUCUUCUGCUGCUCAUGAAGGUCCGCUUGCUACCGAGAGGUAUGUGAUUGACAUAACUUCUUCUAAUGGGAAGAAAAUAAGGCUGCUAGAUCUGAGCAUGUGGCGUCUUCCAUGUUGAGAAUGGCUAGUACAAUUGUGGAUAAGAUUACUCAGCGUAAAGGUUUUAUCAUGCCCCCAGUGCCGAAGUCUGUAGGACGUUCUUUAGGAGCCAAGUCCGGUUCACCUUUGUAGAGACUUGCUAUUAUGAAGAGUGGUAAGGUGGACUCUGCUGCUAAAUUGGCGCCAAAGCCUGCUCCCUUUGCUGCUGAGAUUGAUUCGCCUCAGAUUCAAUAUCUUAAGCUUGCAAUUUCUGAGCUUCGUUUCGCUACUUAUGCUAAGAAGAUAGUGGAUGAGCUUCUCUAUUUCUCCGGAAGACUUGCUUGCUUUUACUUUUAAGGCUUCCAUUGGUGAAGUAGUUGGAGAAGUUAGUGCCCAGACUGGGGCAGCCGGGGGUGAAGCGUCGGAUGAUGCCGCUGCUAAGAGCGUUACGGCUGUUGAAGGUGUGGCGACCGAGUAGUCAUGGGAUGUCCAAGCUGCUGUAAUGUAGUAUUUUAGGUAGCCUUUAGGAUUUUCUUUGUUUUUCCUUGUAGCUUUUGUUUUGCUUGAAUUCCUUCGGCCUUUGCUAGUUGUUUAUAAACAUGUUUUCCUUCGUUUUUCUUCAUCUUCACUUCUUUUGUUCAUGCCUUUAGACUUGAUAGACCAGUGGCAGGCAUGCUACUUUUUUAUAAACAGACAAACUCGCGUAGCCUAUGCAGCCGUAGGUGUUGGUGUAGAACUUUGCAAAGUUGUUAGCCAUAGGGUUGGCAGCCGGAUGCCUUACUUACAGAAGCAGACAAGUCCGCGUAACCACUAGGCUGUUAACCUUGACUUUCUUCAAUUCCGUAGGUUGUGUAGCAAGUAUCACAACACUUUAGGACUUGGUGUAGGUUGUUCCGCGCUUGGCAGAGGUGAAGCUUAUCGACUACGUAGCAUGUCGGCAGUGGAUAAAACUUCGUAUAUGCGCGCUAGCUUGUUUAACCUUUCACAAGAAUGUGCGGUUGUAUAAGUCUAGUGCGGCUUCACUGCUCUAAGGGCAAGCCGUAGGCAGUCUUCCGGAAUCCGUAGGCUACCUUAGUGCACUCGGUAGCAGCUUUAGGAUUCCAGGGCAGCCGUCCAUUGGAUGUACGGCGUAAUGUGCCCUCUCCGUCUCUAGGGCUCGGUUCCCCACGGAUUAGGCCAAGAGACCCAAAAUCCUUGAGUUAGCUAAGCCUUGAAAAAGACCAUUGCGGCUACUUCAAGGAAUCCCGGCGCAAGCCAUCGUGCAUCUAGUUAUACUAGGGCAGCCAGGCUCAUCCACGUCUGGAUAUUCGGAGUGUAAAGUUUAUCCUCCCGUCUUGGAGAGCUGACCCAUAUGGGUGUCGGAGAAUUGGUUUACCCUCUCGCACUGGAGAGCAUGGUUGGUCCCUCGGGGGGCGCAAUUCCUGCGAUGAGUCCCUAAGAAGGGCGCAAUCUUCUUUUGAAGUGCAUGAGUGAUUAGUUGUUGUAAGCAUGCAGCCACGCCAAGUUGUGAUUACUUCUAAAUUCCUCAUUGAAAAACGAGUGAAACGAACGAGAACUUUAGCUGUAAGGUAGGGACUGCAUAACAACUGGAUAGUCCUCAGCUUGUGAGGUGGUGCCCGUCGAGCUUAUUGAGUCUUCGGGUUUUGAUGUAGCGGGAGGUCACACAUGGUACUUCUUCAGAUUGUAGGCCAUCUAUUUCUUUUCAAUCUUUUUGCCGCUUCAUGGUGGUGAGGGUGUAAUUACUCUUACUCCCUACUCUGCUGAUCUUGUACGGACCUUCCCAGAUGGGAUCCAUCUUUUUGGAGCCUUCUCUGCCGGCAGUGAUGAAGGCUUUUCUGCGUCGUCGACAUGCAAAUGCCAGAAGUCUCCAUCGGGUGGAGUAGGCGCAGCUAGAGUGUGCUCGGCUACUUCUGAGGCAUCGUUGGGCCGCUCUGUUGUGUCACCUAGGCUCGGCGUGAAGGCGCAGUAGGGAGCUGUGGAGAUGAGGCCAUGUCAUACGCAACAGGAAAUGCUCAACUGCCGGUAUUGGGCCACUCUAGAGUUGAAUCAUUGAGCAAGGGUCGGCUAGGGCCGUGUGAUGCGCAGCAAGAAAUGGUACUCAACUGCCGGUACAUGUUGCUCCUAUGUAGAAUCUUUUAGGGUGACGAGGACAAAACUUGCUUUCGAGUGUGUCCUUCCAGUGUUGUGUUUGUCAGAAAACUUUACAUCUGCCAAGGUCAACGCCUUUAUCGUCGCGCGUCUGGAUUGGGCAGAAUAGUACGUCAUUAAGAUGAUUGCAUGCGUUUGAAAGUAAAACUUGUGCUUCUGGGUUGCAACAACUAUCGCCAAAGUUAGCUUUUGAAUUUUUAAUAACAUCGAGGAGAGCUUUUGAACUGUAGAAUACAGGUAAUUGUGGAAUACAGGUAGUCGGGCCCCCAUCUCUUCUCGCAUGAUGGUAGAGCUUAUUGCUACUUUAGAUACCGUCAAACAUGUGAAUAAGUCAUCCGCUGCUUCUAGGGAGGUGAUGUUGGGUACUUCUUCAAGUCAUUGAAUGUGCAUUGGCGAGCCUCAUCCCAAAGUGCAUACUUCUCUGCCAAAGCAAAAGAGUCUGCCAGAGUUAGAUCUUUUUUCAUGAUCAAUUUUCCGAAUAGCGGGUGGUCUGCUGGAAGUCCUUUUUGGAAGGCUGCUCUAGCUAUAGAGUCGUUGCAUCCAACUAUUUUUGCCUUCUCUACUUUGAACCUCCUCACAUAGUCGCGAAGCGACUCCUUUGGGUUCUUCUUGACGUUGAACAAAUGAUCAGACUUCUUUUUGAUCGAGCGAUAGGAUGAAUAUUCUUUGGUGAAAACCAAAGAAAGUUCGUAGAAAUCCCGGAUGGAUUGUGGCGGUAAGGUGUAGAACCAAUCUUGCGCCUCGCCUUGUAGAGUGGUGGCGAAUAUCUUGCACAUGAGCUCAUCGUUGUUUCGAUAAAGGAUCAUUGCGCUUCGGUAGCGCUUUAAGUGUCUCUCCGGGUCUUCAUCCCCUUUGAAAUAUGUGAAAUGUGGCAUGCUGAACUCUCGUGGAGGCUCUGCCUGCUCGAUCUCGUCCGUGAAGGGUGACCUGCUUAUGUUGGUCAUGUUCCGUCGUAGUGCCUCGUCGGUGACCUCAUUGCGUUGGAAAUCAUGCAAUCGCUUGGUCAAGAGUCUCUCUACUUCUUCCUGAAUUUGCCUUUGUUGGGGUAGUGCAGCUCUCGGCUGCCCCCAGCCAUAACUUGCUGGUCUAGCUGCUUUUCCUGUUUUGGCUCGUCUAUGUGUUGGCUGGCGUCGUAUAUGCAUGAUGCAGUGCAUAUGGUGCAUUCCUGCAGCAGGCGAGCGAGUUCUUUGCAGGCUGCUGGUUGAACUUGAGCUGGAUUGAGUGACUGCUUCUUCUCUCCGUCCGUCGUGCUGCCUACUCUGAUGUGAGGUGGAUGAUGCUCCUUGUGGGCUUAGCCGCGAAUGAACACUUUGUCUGGAAGGUUGCUCAUGUUGACUACCAGAGUGUAACCCCAACCGUGAAUGUAUGCUCAUUCGUUGGCCUAGUCGAGAGUACACGCUCCUCCGCGCGCUAAAACGGGAGUAUACGCUAUCUCGGGGGCCCAAUCGGGAAUGUACACUGCCUGAACGUUCAGCUCGUGGCUGGUUGAAUGGCUGCUUGCUGGGAUGCUGCUGGAAAGGUUCGUCUGCCCUUGUCCUACUUCGGGAUACCUCGUCCGGGGCACGUUGGAUCCCGAUGCGUUGCAAAAGUUGAUUCACCAAAGUUGUCUGUUGUGCAAGGGGCGCUCGUCAACUCUAUGACUUACUUGUCGAGACAAGUGUUGUUCGCCAUUUGGAUUGGAAGAGCUUGGAAUGAAUGCGCCUCCUUGAGCAGUGGAAGGGUGGUAGACUCCGGGCGCGAGAUUUGAGUUGGGAAAUGUCAAAUCCGUGAAAAAAUGUGGUGAGAAUGCCCCCGGCUCGAUGGUAGGUCCAGAUGGUUGAGAUAGUUUUGGGCCGACUUGGGCUGCUUGGAAAGCCACGGGAGCAGUGUGGGCCUUGAGAGUGGGGCUGCUCGUCGGGAGUGGGCUGCUCGUUGGGAGCAGGCUGGGUCACGAGAGCAGGCUGCUUGGCAGGAGCAGGUUGCUUGGCCGGAGCAGGCUGGGCCACGGAAGCAGGCUGCUUGGCAGGAGCAGGUUGCUUGGCGGGAGCAGGCUGGGCCACGGAAGUAGGCUGCUUGGCAGGAGUGGGCUGGGCCACGGGAGUGGGCUGCUUGGCAGUAGCAGGCUGGGCCACGGGAGUGGGUUGCUCGACGGGAGCAGGCUGGAUCACGGGAGCAGGCUGCUCAAUGCGCGGUGCAUGUGAAUGCGAGGCUUGGGCUUGGGUCCACGUGAACUUGGAUGGCACGGCUUGGAUCGUGGUCUUGGUACCGUGAGCCUUGGAUGGCACGGCUCGGGCCGUGGUGAAGGCUCCAUGGACCUCGCCACGAGUGGCUACCGAAGUAGCCAUCGUGGUGGUUCCCAUGGUGGCGGUGGUGAAGGCAUCAUGGACCUCGCCGUGGGUGGCUACCGAGGUAGCCACCACGGUGGUUCCCAUGGUGGAAGCUCGUGGUGAUGAUGCCGCUCCCCUUAUUGUCGCAUUUUGCCUUACGGAUCUCCGGGUCGUGGUGAAGGCUCCAUGGACCUCGCCACGAGUGGCUACCGAAGUAGCCACCGCGGUGGUUCCCAUGGUGGCCGUGGUGAAGGCACCAUGGACCUCGCCGCGGGUAGCUACCGAAGUAGCCACCACGGUGGUUCCCAUGGUUGAAGCUCAUGAUGAUGAUGCCGCUCCCCUUAUUGUCGCAUUUAGCCUCACGGAUCUCCGCAAUCCCAUUUCUUGAACAUUAGAAUUUUCACUUGUGGAAUUUUCUAAAUUUCUAGCCAUUAUAUUUUGCUUAUACGUUUUAUCAAAGAACCUUUGCAAGUAAAAAAUUCUAAUAAUAAGAACGUAUGAAAAAUAUUCAAAUGGACUAGAAAAUAAAGAAAAAACCUUUUUUGUGCGAGAGUCUUCUACGAGUAUGGAUUUCAACUCUCAAUGAAAGCACCAAUUUGUGGAUGCAAAUUUUCUCCUCUUCGAUCUUGGACGAUUUUGCACCUACAAAACAACUAGCACCUUAGGUUAAGGCCAAAAGCCUCACGCGCCCACGAUGAAUGGGGGGGGCUUUGGCCGAAGAACCUCCGAUGCCAAAGUUAGAAUUUUAGAGAGAAAUAGUGUUUAGAGUGUUUUGGAAUUUUUGCAAGAGAUUUGGAAUGAGUGUUUGGUAAAAAUGGGUGACUAUUUAUAGGACCAAAUUGGUCCACAUCUUCAAGAAAUGGCCGGCCCUUUCUUUGUGCUUUGGGAUGAAUUUUGUGGUUUUAUUAGCCACUUUAUUGGCUAAUAAAAUAUAAUAGAAAUAAAUGGGAAGUUACCCAAUUGAAUGACUAGCAUUAUUUGGCUAAUAAAGUGGAAGAAAUUUGAAAAGGUGUGGAGCAAAGAGAGGGAAUGUGGCCGGUCUACUAGGUGGGAUUUUAGGGUUUAUUUUAGGUUUAAUUAGCCAAUUAAUUGGCUAAUUAAAUAUGAAAGGAAAUGUUUUAGUAUUUAUGGUAUUGAUUGGCUAAUUUAAAAGGGAAGGAAAGGUGGAAAAGGUAGAAAAAGGUGAUGGAAUAGGCUUUGAAUGGGGUAGCCGGCCCUAUAUCAUUUUUUAGGUUUGAGUGGAUGUUUCAAAUUGAUAAUUAAGGGAUGAUUUUAGGAGAUAUGGGAAGAAUAUAUUAUUUAGAUAAUUAAUUAACUAAAUAAUAUAUUAGGGAAAUUAAGUUUUGGAAAUAAUUACCUAAAAUAAGAUAAUUUGGAAUUGGUUACCUCUUUUGGAGCAUUUUUGAAUUGGUUGAGGAUGAUUACCCACUACUUGCGCGUAGGAAUCCCGGUAUGCCUCAAGGGUAAUUUUUGUCCUCUUUCAUUCAAAAGUCCACGUGUCGCCUAGCGAAUAUUUUUGGCUCCACAGUUGACAUCUUCACAAAGCCACUGCCAGUUGAAUUAUUUCGGUUGCUGCGUGAAAUGCUAGGCAUGAAGGUAUUUUGAUUUGAGGGGGCGUGUUGGAAGUUCAAAUCAAAUACAGUAGCCGAAACUAGUGGAACACUUUUCAGAAAUUGUUGGAACACUUUUCAGAAAGUGGUGAAACUAUUUUUAGAAAAGUUGCAUGUGUGUGUGUAUUUUUUUAUUAAAAAGCACUUGAGUGGUUUGUAACUUUUGCAUGUAUAAUUAAGCCUCUUGUAAGGCUUUAGAAAAAUUCAUCCGAAUUCCCAUUCCAUCAGAAUCCCAUUUCCAUUUUAGCUUGUAAGCAAUUGAGUUUGUAAACUCUUAUUAAAUAUAUCAAAGUGUUUGCUUGUUUGCCGUGCAGUUUGUCCAAUACAAAAAGUUUGCUUCUUCAUUUAUUUUUUUCUUUGUUCAAUUGUAUUGAGAGUGAUAGUGAGAGGUGUGAUAAAGUUAGAAAACUUAUCACCCAAAUAUUUUUGGUAUUGAGUUAGUAAACUUUGAAAUACUAACAUGCCAGAGGCAUUUAUAGGAGUUACUAAAGUUACUCAAUUACCAGUUCUUUACAAAAAGCCUUCUUCAACCGCCAAAUUCUUGAGCUUUCAUCCCACCAGAGAUUGGUGGCUUCAGCUUCAUUGUCGCUCAGACUGGUGACCCAUUGGUGUCGGGUACGGUUUAUUUUGUUUGUCUUUUUUCCCGGAUUUAAUUUGAUGUAUUGUAUUAUUUAUCUGAUGACAAUGCUCCACUAGCUUCGAAUUUUGUGCUACACGUUAACACCCUUUGAUCAUCCAAGGGCUCUCAAUAGAGUUGGGGCGGCGGGAUCCGGAUCUGAGAUGGUUGAACACUCUAUAGCCAGUUAAUACUUUUGCCCACCAAUCCGCUCGGUUGUGUUCGUAACAUCUGUGUUGUGACGUUUCUUCAUCUCUCUUACUUGAGAUUCUUUAAAUUUUUUGUUCAAAUGUUAUGCAAUUGAUCGCUGGGCAUUUGAAGACGAACAGGGAGGAAAAAUUGGAUAAUUAUCCUCCUAAACUAAGCGGUUAUAAUUAUAAAACGUUGAAAAAAAAAUUGGAGCUCAAAUUUGAAACUGCAAUGAGCAGUUGCAAUUGGUUUUUUUCCUCUCCCGCAAAAACUAAAUUGUCUUCACUCUUAGGUAUGUUAUGUUGAUGUUUGAUUUAUUUUUAAUUUCCUUUUUUAUCAUUAGCUCCAUAUUUGAUCAAAUACUAGCCUCUCCGCACGCACAUGUGCGUGUGAGAGGCCUUUUUUCAAUCAUGUGUGCUACACGCCCCUAUAUGUGUCUUGCAUUAGUUUUUUUCAUUGUAAUUGUCAAAAUGGCUCACUAAACAAAUUGAAAACAACUAACGCACGACAUCUUUAAUAUAUGAGUUGUGGUUUCAUUCUUUUGGUUAACUUCGUUUAAUUCUUUUUUCCUCCUGUCCAUGAAUUAAUUUUAAUUAAUUUAGUACAAAUGUUCAUUUUUUGUUUCUAGGAAAUUAAAAGUUUGAACCUUUUUUAUUUGUGUAAUCAGUUUUGAAGUUUGUUUCACAGGGAAAAUAUGGAAGAAGGAAGAGAAAUAGCGGAAGAAGAGGGAACAAAGAUAGUUUAUCAUACUCAAGAGUGCAGGUAGUAUUCUGUGAUUUGGCAUAAUUUUGUAUAUAAUUGAUUUUUCUUCUCUAAUAAUCUUCCCCUAUUUCCUUUUGUUCUGUGUAUAAUAGAUCGUCUAAAAUUUACAAGUUCAUGGCUCAUUCAGGCUACAAAAGAUUUGAUUACUUUCUUUUUAGGAAUAUGAACUGGAACAACUUCAAAGUUCGGGUGUAAUUAUUUGUCUUAUCAAGUAAUUUACUGUAUCUUAUCCGUUUUUGUUUUUCAUGCAUGUGAUUGUAUUUUUGAUUGGAAGGUUAUAAAAAUGAACACCUUUUACAGUGCUCCAAAUUAAAUACGAUAGAUAUACAUGUUUUUGCACGAAUUAAAACAACAUUAUUACUACAUUAUGUAUUCAAUUUUAAAUUAAGGUACGGUAUCUAUACCAAAUAAAAUAGGGUUGGCAUAUUAAGAGAACAACCUCCAUUUGCACUUUUAAUAGAAAAAGGCUCGGGUUCGAUUGUAAAAACAAAAGCAAAAUUGUUACACCCUUUUUUCUUAAGAAUAAAAACAUGAUUAGGCGAUCUACUAAUAAAGAGAUUGGAAACUAAUGUAAUAAACUUUCAUCUUCUAUAGGAAAAUAUAAACAAGUUAAGCAUGACUAAUUAAGAAAACACCAUUUGCAAACACAUAAAAAUUCGUCAAUCAACUCUCAAUGAAUAAGAAUGUCGAUAGACAAAUGAACACCUAAUACCUCCUAAAAAAGGCUGCUUUAAUCAUCUCACACGCAACUGUUGUUUCACUAUUGCAUGAAAACAAUUGACGCAAGAUAUAAUUAAAACCGCGUAGCGCCGGUAAUUAAAAAAAUGCCUCUAGCUUGACCAUGAUAAAAGAGAUCAUGAUUUAGUAAUGGCAUCAUCACGUUAUAAGUAGACUUUAUUUUUUGUAUGUACAUAUUGUGCAUUGUUUUGUUUUGAAUCAAUGUAUCAAAACAUACCAUCAUUUGAUCAUGAUAUAUAGCUUGAAAAAUGUGACAUAAGCAGUACAAUUAAACAUUAAUGCCAUUUUCGUUUACAUAGUUAUCAAACAAAUUUUUUGCGCCCUUAAAGAUGUCGUGUGUUAGUCGUUUUCAAUUGACAAUUACAAUGAAAAAAACUAAUGCAAGACACAUAUAGGGACGUGUAGCGCACAUGAUUGAAAAAAGGCCUCUCACAUGCACGUGUGCGUGCGGAGAGGCUAGUAUUUGAUCAAAUCUGGAGCUAAUGAUAAAAAAGGAAAUUAAAAAUAAAUCAAACAUCAAAGUAACAUACCUGAGAGUGAAGACGAUUUAGUUUUUGCCGGAGAGGAAAAAAACCAAUUGCAACUGCUAAUUGCAGUUUCAAAUUUGAGCUCCAAUUUUUUUUCAACGUUUUAUAAUUAUAACCGCUUAGUUUAGGAGGAUAAUUAUCCAACUUUUCCUCCCUGUUCGUCUUCAAAUGCCCAGCGAUCAAUUGCAUAAAAUUUGAACAAAAAAUUCAAAGAAUCUCAAGUAAGAGAGAUGAAGAACCGUCACAACCCAGAUGUUACGAACACAACUGAGCGGAUUGGUGGGCAAAAGUAUUAACUGGCUAUAGAGUGUUCAACCAUCUCAGAUCCGGAUCCCGCCGCACCAACUCUAUUGAGAGCCCUUGGAUGAUCAAAGGGUGUUAACGUGUAGCACAAAAUUCGAAGCUAGUGGAGCAUCGUCAUCAGAUAAAUAAUACAAUACAUCAAAUUAAAUCCGGGAAAAAAAGACAAACAAAAUAAACCGUAUGCGACACCAAUGGGUCACCAGUCUGAGCGACAAUGAAGCUGAAGCCACCAAUCUCUGGUGGGAUUAAAGCUCAAGAAUUUGGCGGUUGAAGAAGGCUUUUUGUAAAGAACUGGUAAUUGAGUAACUUUAGUAACUCCUAUAAAUGCCUCUGGCAUUCCAGAAUGGCAAAAAUUAAGCAGAAACUGAAUAACCAAUACACAAAAGAGAGAGCUUUCUACAAAUUGGUCCAAAACCCAUUAACAAAAUCUGGUAAAGAUAAAUAAUUUCAAAUAGUUCAAAUUAUAAUCAAGUAAAAAUUUCCAAAUUAGUAUAUAUUAAAGUGGGCAAUUAGUUAAUAAAUCAAAACAUUAGUAGAUAUGAACAAUUCAAUUAGGCAUAGAGUACCUGAAUUGAAGCAGAAAGUCAAAAUUUCUGGCGAAAACCCAUUUCAAAAUUUUGGCAUAGAUAAGAAUAUUGUUCGAGAAAAUUACCCAAUUUACUCUUUUGUAUGCACUGUGGUGAUCGAGAACGUGCGAUGGAGGUAGGACAAUGUAGAAUAAGAUUAUACUUAUUUUGAAGCCCAAUGGUUGCUGGAGAUGGCCGGAAAAUAGCCUCAAAGUUGACUGGUCUGAGUGAAAACUUGAAAACUCGCCAGAAACUAGGUAAACUUUAAAGGUUCAUAACUUCUUCAAUACUCAACGAAAUCAAGUGAUUCAAAAAACGAAAAUCAUACUUCUCGACGAGACAAAAAGAAUGGUACAUUUUUCAAUGGCUAACUCGCCGUUGUUUGGCCGGAAAAUGGCUCGAAAGUGGCUGUCUUGGUCUCAAGUUAGCCACUUUUGAGCCAUUUUCCGGCCAAACCACGGCGAUCUAGCAGUAUAAAAAGGUACCAUUCUCUUUGUCUCGCUGAGAAGUAUGAGUUUUGUUUUUGAAUGACUUGAUUUCAUUGAGUAUUGAAGAAGUUAUGAACGUUUAAAGUUUACCCAAUUUCCAACGAAUUUUCUAGUUUUCGCUCAAACAAGUCAACUUUGAGGCUAUUUUCCAGCCAUCUCCGGUAACCAUUGGGCUUUGAAAUAGGUAUAAUCUUAUUCUAAACUUUCCUAUCUUCAUUUUGAUAUAUUAUGGGUCGAAUUUGGUUAAGAAACGAUUGAGUUACGAAUCUUUGAAAAUUGCCCAAACUUCCGGCCAAGAGCUCCGGAACACUUAACGGAGUUUUUAACGGAAUGAUCAAAAUGAUGGAUGGUGGACAAUCUCAGGGUCCACUUUUAUCGAUUUGGAAUCUCAGAGACCAAAGUGAUGAGUUUUACAAAUCUUAGGGACCAUUUUGAUGAUUUACCAUAAAACAUUUACACAAAAUCCAACAUGCUUGACUUAAAAUAGAUAGAGAUUUAUAAAUAGAUAUAACCCACAAUAGUUCAUGGUUUUCUUUUAUCAGAAAAUAAGAAUAUUUUAAACACAUUACAUAAACCACUCACCUUAAUAAUCCAAGCUUUGACAAGACAACCCAAUUAACAUCUCCGCACACCUCAAACCCUAGCUUUCCCUUUCUCUUUUCUUUUCUAAUCUCUCUCUAAACAUAUAUAAUAUUUAUAUACACACACAUACAUAUAUAUAUAUAUAUAUACACAUACACAUAUAUACACACACACACACACACAUAUAUAUAUAUAUAUAUAUAUAUAUAUAUGUAUAUAUAUAUACAUCAUCUCUACGUAGUGCAUGCAUUGCAUGCUUCUGUGGUUUCAAAAGAAUGGAGCCUUUGCUCCUAUUUAUAGGGGAUUGGAGUCGGCUAUAAUUAAUGUUAAAUGCAUGACUAAGCCUUUCAAUGAAGUGGUGGCAAUAGAAUGUAAGAAAUCAUCUAGGAUAUUGACAGCUACAUGGAAGACGUGUUCAACUUAAGUUGGAGGUGUCAUGAACAUGGGCUGCCAAGUAUAAGAAUCAUCAAAUUGUAGGUGCAGGUGUCAAAUACAGGGAUUAAGCAUAUGCAACACGUUUAAGUUAAUAGCUGCAUACGAUCAUCACAAUAGAGUGCAUAAUAAGCACUCGUAAUGAUUGCUAAAGGAUGAAAUGGAAGGUGGUGCUGUCAGUUUGCAUGAAGCGAGAAGAGCAGGUGCUACAUUCGUAGGAAUGCUUGAGGUAGAUUGACAGGUGGUAUAGUAAAAAUGAAUGGGUGGGAUCUAGUGAGUCUAUUCUUGUCACGCCCCGAUCCUGACAUACAUCCAGGAUUGACACAUGACGUCACCAAGUAUAUGUAUAUCUAACAUACCCCGCCUCCAGAAUAUGUACCAAGCACGCUCAAGCCUCAAAUUGAGUAGUGAUUUUUCGUAUACUUUAUGACUGCAUCUAACCUCCUCGUUAGACUGCCUACGUACCCUCAUUAGAAAUCAAGUCAUUCGUAGUUCGUCGUUCACUAAUUUAGACAAUUAUUAUAGAGCGUUCUAACAAGAAUACAUAACAUUCUGUAAUCAAUUAUUAGAACUUGACAUGCAUGACAUUACCAAGUUCAGGGCUACAAAACAAACCAAUAUGCCGCUCAAGAUUCUGAUUCCAUCCAUCAUAUAAAUUCCAUGAUUUCAGUACGAUACUUCCAUCCACAACAUGUAACAUAUCAAAUAAGCAACGAAGCACAUACUAUUCUCAAGCCACAUUGGUCAACUAAAAUAAUUAGAAUAAUAACAACCAUAACCAAGGUCAUUCCACAAUCCCGUCAAUCAAUCAAUUCAUGAAUCAAAGAUACAUGAUCUUAGCAUUUAAUUAUGUUAAUCAAUGAAUGCAGUAACAUAUCAUUUCACGAAUUUAACCGAGGAAUUCUAUAUAAUUCCCUACUUGGAUUAUGAAUAAAAACAUGGUAAUUCUCAUUUGUAUUCACAAGAUCUAUUGUGGGUAAUUCUUAUUCACUCGAAUCAAGGAUUCUAAGAUAACCUUAUGGAAAUGAACAAGAGCAAGGAUUCCAGACGACUCAACUGAAUCCAACAACAUCGGGUUCCGGACGACUCAACGGAACCAAAAUGUCACACGGUUUCUCGUAAUCCACCUAGACCUGUCACAUGUAAAAUCAAUGCCUACAUUAUGGGAAUGGUACACUGGGCAAAUCAGGCACUCAGAUAAGCUGCAAGGUUCGGGUGAGUGACAAUAAUACAAGUAUGUGAUAUUCAAUAAAAACAGACCAUCGAUCACAAUGUAUAAACAUCAAGCAUAUAAUCAUGCUUUAUGAAAUCAUAAUCAAGUAGCUGAAAACUCCGUAGGAGUCACCCAGACAUCCAACGCUUUUUCUAAUUCAGGCCACAGGAUUCCCAAAAACCAUCAUUCAUAUGCGCAUUAAAACUAGGGCUAGAGGGACGCAGUUUGGCCGAAGCCUACAUAUAUGUAACCAAACAGGAAGUGACCCCCUAUCACGGAUUAACCAAGCAGAACCACCCCUGCAAUAACCAAGUAGACAGUGACCCUCUAUCGUGGAUUAACCAAGCAUAGUCACUCCUACGCAUCUGUUAAGCAGUGAUCACCUAUCGCGGAUUAACCAAGCAUGAUCACCCCUAAGUGUGUGUGUAUGGCCAUACCAAAGAUAUAAGGAUCGCCUAUCGUGGAUUAACCAAGCACGAUCCAUAGAAAAUAUGGUCCUGUAUCGUAGAUUAACAAGACCAUGGUCCCCUAUCGCGGAUUAACCAAGCAGAGUCACACCUACAAAACUGUUAGGCAGUGAUCACCUAUCGUGGAUUAACCAAGCAUAAUCACUCCUAAGUAUGUAUGGCCAUAAGGAUCGCCUAUCGCGGAUUAACCAAGCACGAUCCAUAAAUACUAUGGUCCCCUAUCACGGAUAUACCAAGUAGGACCAUUCAUAUACAUCUACUACAUGGUGCAGUCAAUUCAACACACAAUCUACCCUUACUUCAACCCCUAUGAUUUACAAUAUAGGCACAUGCUCAAUCAACUUCUCAUGGCCACUAGCAUACAUAUCAUGCAAGCAUAUAAAUUCUAUGGAAUACUUCUAAUAGGAUUCUAGGAUCACAUGGUCAUAACCUUUAUCAUUCAUAUCAUUCAUAUUAUCAAGAAAAUAACUAAACACACACACACACACAACACACACAUAUAUAUAUAUAUAACAAUAUGACUCCCAUACGCAUAAACCGAUGUAUAUAUUAUCUGGGAUAACUUACUAACCAAUAUAGGCCCACUAAGCCCUACAUAGUCUCUAGUAAUAUUGAAUUUAAUAUCUAAGAUCAAUUUGUAACAUAUUGACUAUAAGUAAGCAGUAAUUAGAUUAAAACAUAUAAGGUUUCCUAGAACCCCCUACCUUGAAUUCGAUUAAUUUUGUUCCUUUGAAGAACCUAAUCGGAACAUAAAAUUACAAUCAAAAGUAUAAAUACAAGUAACACACCUUAAUAACCAAACUAAGUGUUUAAACACAAAAUUAAUAUUAUUUAAAGAAAGUACAUUGAUUCUGGAAUCUACCACUCAAAUAAUAUCACUCAAAUAGCAAUAAAGAAGAUUAGAAAGGAAUCUGGAAAAGAAAAUAGGUGUGGCAAAAACAAUACUAUGCUUCUCUACAAAAUCUGCAGAAAACAACACUAUUGGACCAAGUUUAGGCUCGCUUUGGAACAUCCAAAACUAAACCAAAUCAUGUAAUAUUAUAUGGGUUUUGAAGCUUGUGUUAUGUACUUUAAAAGAAUACAAAGUUUGUA
rnacentral:lncRNA from 1 species